AGCGGGCGCGAAGCUGACUGACCACCUAAGAAGUUGUUCCAGAUGUAAUCAGCAACUUGCCUUGCAUCAUCAGCUGAAGUGAGAGAGUAACUUCCGGCGGCCCCUCCAAUCGAGAGGAGGACUUUUAUGUUUUUUGAUUGGCAGGUUCUGAUGUCGGCACUCAGCCCGGUGCAAGUACCACUAGCGGGGUCGCAGUGGCCGGCGAGGUUUAGGACAGGGGUUUGGUUGUUUCCGAAAGUAGUGAGGAAAGCUAUGUUAACAAACUGGUAGUUGCCUGAGUUGCAAGCAUCUGCUAGGGUUCCUUCGUUUCCGUUUUGGCCCCAAUAGACCGCAAUUCCGGCGGCUUGGGAGGACUUGCAUGAAGAAAUGAGGAUCAAGAGGGACAGCGUUAGGGCUAGGGUUUGUGUUUUGGAUGCCAUUUUUAUAUGUUUUUUUGGGUUGUUGUUCAAAGUGCUUGGGAGUGGACAUGUACUUAUAGGUGCAGGGGACUUAUCGGUUAAGGUUUAGGGGAAGAAAAGUAUGACAGACGUGUUCUGCAGGUAAGAGUCUUCUGCUUGCAACCGCGUCAAUCACGUUAGGGCCUGUUUAUUUAGUCCAAGUUUCACUUUACAACUUAGAACACGUCAAUUAAAUUAGGUCGGGUUGAAAAUGCAUUUUCCAAAACCACUUUCACACAUAAGCGCUUCUUAUAUUUUCAUAAAAAUGCAAGUGGUUUUAUAAAAAAAAAAACUUGAGGUGUUUGGCGUGUGUUUUUUCAGAAAGCACUUAAAAUAUUUUUUCAACCUAAAAUCACUGAAUUUUUUAUGAUUUCAAAGUUCUUUUAAUUGUUUUGAAGGCACUUCCAACUGAUAUUUUAUAAAAAAUUACUUCUAGAGAGAAUUAUAGCAUGCUAAUUGAGAGAUUCCGAAACUAAAAAGCCAUCAAAUUUGCCAAAAAAAAAAUCUGAUGAGACAAUACGUGGAGAAUCAACACAGCUGUAUCAUCACCAAAAAUUUUCAGUGUGCAGAAAUACAGUCCGGUACAAAGUGUUAUAAUAAAAUUGGUUGAUUUUUUUUUUUAAGUUUCCAACUAAUUAUAUUAUUACACUUGAUGUACCGAUCCGUAUUUCUGAAAAAUCUCUCCUUACCAUCACAUCACAUGAAUGUUUUGGAAAGUUCGUAGAUAGAAACCAAAAUCUCUCCUUAUCAUCACAUCACAUCACAUGAACGUUUGGGAAGCUCGUCGAUAGAAACCAAAUGGAAUAUGCUUUUAGCUGAGGAUGGCCAUUGGCCAGGGACUUCGGUCUAAUCACGAUGCUUUAAUUUCGCAGUCGGAAAAAAACUUUCGAAUAAAAUUUAGGGUAUAUUUAGGAAGUGUUUUUAAAUGAUUGAAAACAUUUUUAGAAAUAUUUUUUUUUAAAAACGUUUCCAGUCAUUUAAAAAAACUUCUUAAACGAGUUUAAUUACUUGUGUAUGGGGCAACAUUUAGCUAGUAAUGGUUCUCAUGAAUUGGAUUGUGGUGAUGUGAAAAUGGGUUUGGGUUAGUUUAGUUUAGAGUUUAUAUUUACUAUCCGGUGCAUGCAAAUGGAAUGUCAAAUCUUUCAGAGAAAUUUUGAUAGAACUGCCACUUAGGGCAACACAUAUUAAACAAACAAAUGUAGGGUUGGAGAAGACUAAAAUACAUGAAUUCUCGUGUUUUCAUAAAUGUGAUCUAAAAAUAAUAUAGCAUGUGCCCUGAGAACAACGUGAUCAGUACCUAAUCGAAGUUCUCUAGUGUGGAAAGAUUCAAGAGGGGUGUGACGCUUCCGACAAAUAAAAAAUCACACAUUUUCGAAUUCGGAAAUGUAUAGAACAGAGCAGAUAUCACUAGAUGAAUGUUAACUGUUUUACAGAAAAUUUAUAAGACAAUUAGAGUUAAACAACAGAAGCUUGCACUUUAAAUGGUUAUGUCCAGCUGCUUUUGGUAUGUAUAUGCUUUUUCCAUGUCUCGAUGUAGUUCCAGUUCACUGCUCAUCAUCCUGGAACAAUGCUUUCGAAACAGAGCCGCACGGCUGGCUACUGUAUUCUCGGUAAUCUUCAUCGUCAUCACAGCUGCGUUGCGAGCAUGAACGUUUGAUUCCUGUCAUUGGGGUUUCACAGACUCUGUCAUCGCAUGAACCUCUAUGAUCCUUCCUUUUAAACAGCUUUCGAAGCGGAUUUGACUUUGGUUUCAAUGGUUUCAGCCGUUUGGGGGCCCAAACUCUCUGCAGAUCGGGCAUCCAUCUUGUGGAUGAAGCGAAUCUCCAAGCCCUCUCUCUCCUCUCUUGAGCUUCAAGUAACUUGCGAGCAUGGUCGUCCUAUUGUUUGAUCUCUUCGACGCUUGGUCUUCCAAUAUCAGUUUUCAGCGGACGAAGAGACUCACCUUCUGCUUGUAAUGAGUCCCAGAUUCUAUAACUUCCAUCCACUUCGACACUCUUCGGUUUUUCUUUACAGGAUCGAUUGCUAUCCUCACUGUUGAGUAAACUAUUAGGGAGUUCUUCCUCAUCAGCAAACAGUAACAAAUCCAUUUUCGUAUAGAUUUUGUGAACCACAUCUUCAAGUGUCUCACAGUACCUGAAAAAUGUCCAAAUUCAGGCUCUUGACAAUUUGACAAAGCAUUUCAUUGAAAAGGUUCAAUCCUUACUACCAUUAUAAUUUAUAAUGUGUUGUAUGGUUUACCUCGUAAUGGUGCUAAGUUAUUUCUACAGUUUUGGGGCAUUUUUUUUGCAGUUUCGGUGCAAUUUUGAUGCAGUUCUUUUUUUUUGCAAUUUUGCUGCAUUGUUGUUGCUGUUUUUGCUGCAUGUUCAUUGAUUAAUAAAAAGGUCGUACCCAGUGCACAAGGCUCCCUUGAUUAAUAUAUGAGAAAAAUAAGACUGUCAUAUGCUUAAAUAGGUGUAUAUUUUAAAUUAUACAUUUUUUUUUCAAAAAUCGAACCGAAACUGUUUGAAACCGUACCGCACCAAACCAAACGGUUUGGUUUCAUUUCAGUUUUGGCUUCAAAACUGCACCGAACCGCACCGCAAAAAAAUUUGGUUUCGGUUGCGGUUUCACUCGAAACCGCACCGAAGCGCACCGCGCCCACCCCUACAGGGGACUUGUCGAUGAAGGUUUAGGGGAAGAGAAGUAUGACAGACGUGUCUUGCGGGUACAAAAUGGGUGCCAGUCUUCUGCAUGCAUGGAACCGCGUGAACCAAGUUAGGGCCUGUUUAGUCCAAGUUUCACUUGACAACUUAGAAAUUUGUCAAUUAAGUUAGGUCGUGUUGGAAAUUCUUUUUUCAAAAACCACUCAUAAGUGCUUUUAAUAUUUUUCGUAAGAAUGCAAGCGUUUUUAGAAAACACACUCAAGGUGCUUAGCGUGUGCUUUUUUUUAGAAAGCACUUUUAAGUGUUUUUUCAACCUAAAAACACUUGUUUUAAAGACACUUCCAACAAACACAUAAUUAAUGGAAAAUUACUUCCAGAGAGAAAUAUAGCAUGCUAUUUGAGAGAUUCCAAAACUAAAAGCUAAAUAGUUAUUAAGCGUGACCUUAACCAAGGUGAAAUAAAAUAUCAAAUUUGACAAACAAUCUGAUGAACGUCAUAGCUAUAUGUAUAGUCAGUAGAUGAGAUAAUCAUGAAACAAAACGUGGAGAAUCAACACAGCCUUAUCAUGGCCAAAAUUUGUCUGUGUGCCAGAACCACGGCCUAGUACACUAAAAGUGUCAUAAUAGAAUUGGUUGGAAAUUCAUUCGGUUACAACUGACUCUGAAGUCUUUAUUUCUGCACAACCACAUAGUGAGAUGUUUGCUUACCAUGCAACCAUGAUGUCCAAUACUCUUGGUACCUCAAUCGUUGUCUUUACCAAAACUGGUUUUAUGGCUAUUCUAUUGAGCCAUUACCGACCUACCGGGAUCAUAUUUGCCUUCACGAAUGAGUGAGUUUUCAAUUUACCUGUCACAAAGGCAUUUAGUUAAAAUUUGUAACUGUAUCAGUCAAAAUAUGCUGUGAAAGUUCUAUUCAUUAGCAAGUACUUUGAUUGCCAUGCAGUAAGAGCAUACAACGGAGAUUGGCUUUGUAUCAAGGCGUAUGUCCAAUAUAUACAUGGAGUUCACAGAAGAUUCUGAAACAAGCUUUAGCAAUGCCUUGACUGUGCUGAAGGUGAUGUUUUGCUGCAGAUUUCCUAAAUUUAUGGCGACGUAUGCUAUUCAACCAUGCCAGCACUGAUGGUUCAUUUUCUGUUGUUCUGUUUGCAGGAGCAAGGAUUGGUAAAGGCAGGAGAAGAGGUCGCACUCGUUCAAAGUGGCAGGCAACCCAUUUGGCGGCUCCAAUCCACUCACAAAAUUCAAGUGCGCAAAAUUUAGGUGCAACGGAGAUGGAAUAAUCGCCCUCGUAACAUAGAUUUCUUCGUCUACACUACAAAAGUUUCAAAUGAUAGCUUUUGUGUUGUACUUCCAGCGGAAUUGUCGUGAUACUUUCUUCCUUUGGUUGUUUUUUUUCUUCUGUUGCACACUUUUGUGAUCCUAUCAAUGUGCUUCUUUUUGUUUCCGAUUUCCCCCUAGUUAAUUUUGGCGUAUGUUUUAGAACUGUAAGUUGUUAAAGUAUAAAUUUGGCAGUUUGAAUGCAAACUGUCUAAAUUUUUUUAAUAGUUCGAUUGAGGAAACAGAUCGUCACACUCACAUUCUAAUAUCCGCCGCUUACCGUUUGUCGUGUGGCCGUUUAACACUGACUAAGGUAGAUCUCACAUCAGAUCAGCACGGGACUAGGUUCCGUGCUCUUGUGAAAGUUAUUCUACGUACGACGUGAUUCUACACAUGGUUUGUGGUUUGGGCUUGAACCGGUCUCUACGAAAUGAGGCAGAUUUUUUGUUUAUUAACAAAGGUCAAAAGUCAAACAAAAAUUGUUGAUACAGACUAUCUUAAACAAAAUUAAACAACAUUCGCUUGAAUAAUUAUCAAAUUGACAAUGUCUCAUAGGUGAUGCUGUCCAUACACUCUUUUUAUUUUUCACUCACUCCUCCCAAUUUUUAACCGUCAGAUCGAAUAAAUUAAAGAUGAUCAAAAGACAAAAAUUAACUGAAGAUAUGUGAAAGAAAAAACAAAAUGUAUAUAUAGCAUCACCUAUCUUAUUAGGAUAAUGACAUCCGAUUUAUUUGAUAUAAUCUUUUAGGGAAACCAAAACGUUGAGUUACAAAAGUCAAACUCUUCCGAUGAUGGAAUAACUAUAUCCAUUUUUAUCAUCACAAAACUCGGACCCUAACAUCACACCACCAUACUUCGACGACUUCUUUAUCACCAGUAGAAUUUCCGAAUUCAGCAAAGCAGCCACAAUAUACCCACUUCUGGCCACCUCAGGAGUGGCCGGCAACCCCAAAAACAUCUUCCCUUUCUAAUACAUUAAUGAUGUCAGUUGGCGUCUUAACAAGAUGGGAGACUUUGGAGUCGCUUUAUUGGGAUCUCCCGAGUACUCGGUACUCUAUGUAUUUUAACCGUUAAAUCUUUGUUUAAAAAUAUAAAAAUCAAAUUCUAACAGUUAAAAUAUUCAAAAUAUCCAUAGUACCGCUCGAAAUUUUUUGAGACAUUAAAUGCAAUCCCUCCAAGAAAUCAUCUCAAAUUUUUUUGAGACAUUAAAUGCGAUCUCUCCAAGAAAUUAUUAGAUUAUACCGUAGUACCAUCUCAGCCGUGGUAGUUUCAUCCAAAGGCUAGCCUUUACAAUAUGAGCUAGCCAGCCUUCAUGCACACAGUGCCUGCCAAUCAUGUAAAACCAUUGACAAUGAUACAUGACAAUUUAUUUGGACCUAUAACUUCAUUUCAUAACUACAUCAGAUAACCGUUUAUGUGCAACUAUAUUUUAUUCAAUUUCAAAAAUUAGCAUAUGCAAUGACAUGUUUUAUCGUAAAAAGUACAAGAAAUUUUCAACGUAUCACAAAUACAAAGUGUUAUACCACAUGUCAUUAUAUAAAGAGAAAUUUUUUAUAUUUUAAGUCUGUCUCCACUUAUAUAAUAUGUGUUGUACCAUCCGAAUUCCGGAUCAGUAAAAGAUCUCUCCAAAAAUACAUAUGCAUGUUUUAUUCAAAAGGUUAGGAAUGAUGCGUCAUCAUCCCUAACGCACUUUAUUAUAAGUAGUAUCAUCCAUUGAGGCAGAGAAGUUAAUUAGAUGCUGUCCUUAAUGGAUGCACUAUAGCCGUUGACAAUGUCAUACUGCCUGCCCCAGAGCAUAAUUCCUCCGUACUUGGGCGAUUUCUUAAUCGUUGGAAGAACUUGUGACUUGAGAGCGUCAGCAGGAAUAAAUCCGCCGCCCGGAGCGGCCUCAGGAGCUGCCGGUAUACCCAAGAACACCUGGGUGGCCGGAACCGAGGCCCAUUGGUUCCAACUGCUCAAAAGAGCGUCGGCAUUACCGUCUGCAUACUGGCAUGGGGGGUUGUUGUAGAACUGAACCCAAACGUAGUCAAAUAAACCGGUUUGGAUAGCGCCGUCUAGGUGAGCAUCCGGGAUCGGACAUUGUGGAGCUGCGGCUAAAUAGACCGUUUUUGCCUGUCCGUUGUGUCCGUUGAGUGACCUGGCGAGCUCAUCAUAGAACUGCGCACCACCCGCCUCAAUGUCGAAAUCAACGCCGUCCAAAACCGCGUCCCCAAGCGGGCGCGAAGCGGACUGACCACCUAAGAAGUUGUUCCAGAUGUAAUCAGCAACUUGCCUUGCAUCAUCAGCUGAAGUGAGAGAGUAACUUCCGGCGGCCCCUCCAAUCGAGAGGAGGACUUUUAUGUUUUUUGAUUGGCAGGUUCUGAUGUCGGCACUCAGCCCCGUGCAAGUACCACUAGAGGGGUCGCAGUGGCCGGCGAGGUUUAGGACAGGGGUUUGGUUGUUUCCGAAAGUAGUGAGGAAAGCUAUGUUAACAAACUGGUAGUUGCCUGAGUUGCAAGCAUCUGCUAGGGUUCCUUCAUUGCCGUUUUGGCCCCAAUACGUCGCGAUUCCGGCGGCUUGGGAGGACUUGCAUGAAGAAAUGAGGAUCAAGAGGGACAGCGUUAGGGCUAGGGUUUGUGUUUUGGAUGCCAUUUUUGUAUGUUUUUUUGGGUUGUUGUUCAAAGUGCUUGGGAGUGGACUUGUACUUAUAGGUGCAGGGGACUUAUCCGUUAAGGUUUAGGGGAAGAAAAGUAUGACAGACGUGUUCUGCGGGUUAGAAAUGGGUGCCAGUCUUCAGCUUGGAACCUCGUCAAUCAAGUUAGCUAGGGCCUGUUUAGUCCAAGAAGUUUCACAUAAAACGCCGAUUAAGUUAGGUCGGGUUGGAAAUGCUUUCUUCAAAAACUACUUACACACGUAAGCGCUUCUUAUAUUUUUCAUAAGAAUGCAAGUGCUUUUGAAAAAAAACACUUGAGCUGUUUCGUGUGUUUUUUUCAGAAAAUACUUUAAAUGUUUUUUCAAACUAAAAAUCCAUUAAAGCUCCUUUACUUGUUUAAGGGCACUUCCAAAAUCAUAUUUAAAGAAAAAUUACUUCUAGAGAGAAUUAUAACAUGCUAAUUGAGAGAUCCCGAAACUAGAAACUAGAUAGUUAUAAUGAAGCGUGACCUUAACUGCUUAAUUAAGUGAAAAAAGCCAUCAAAUUUGACAAAAAGUCUGAUGAAAGGUCAUAGCUGUAUCAUCUGUAGAUGAGAUAAUCAUGAAACAAUGUGGGGAAUCAACACAUCCUUAUCAUCGUCAAAAAAAAAAAUUCACUGUGCUGGAAGCACGUUCAAUUGAACGUUUUGGAAGUUUGUGGAUAGAAACCAAAUGGAAUAUGCUUGUAACCAAAAUUGCUGGCUGCUAUAUACAUCUUGGAUUUUAGCUGAGGUGGCCAUUGGCCAAGGACUUUGGUCUAAUCACGAUGCUUUAAUUUCGCAAUCCAAAAAAAAAAUUCAGAUAAAAUUUAGAACACGUUUUGGGAGUGCUUUCAAAUUACUGAAAGCGAUUUUAGAAAGAAAAAAAAUGUUUAUAUAACUAAUCUUUAAUAAAAAUGCAAGUUAAUCCUCCAAAAGUACUGAAACUAGUGCUUCUUUGAUAAAACACUUCAAGUGCUUUUGGAGCUCAAAAAUAUUAUCUCAAGUGGUUUCAGUCAUUUAAAAACACUUUCUAAACGAGUUAAUGACUCGUGUAUGGGGCAACAUUUAGCAAGUAACGGCUCUCAUGAAUUGGAUUGUGGUGAUGUGAAAAUGGGUUUGGGUAAGUUUAGUUUAGACCAGUCAGCAGUGUUUAAAAUAUCCACGACAUUAUCGAUAUUUUCGUUGAAAUAUCCUUAAAAUUAAGGGUCCAUAAGCAAAAGAAGGAUGAAAUGCAAACUUCACCCUAUAUCGGCAAGAUACAAGAAAACAAUGAAUAUAGACAAUAUGUAACAACUCGUCCCAAGAUUUACUGUAUAUAAAUGGUAUUUUUGUAUUUUCAUCAAGUUUGGGAAUUUAUCUUCCUUUUAAAAUUUGUUUUUGGUCUUAAAUGGUGAUCCAAGGGGACCCACUCCCCUGAUUUUGUCCCCGAGCCCUCUUCUCUCUUUCUUCCUCUCCUCUUCCCUUUCCCCUUUCCCGUAUACUUCUAUUCCUCUCUUCUCUAUGAUCACACUCACACCCAGCUGCACUCCCUGCUCGAGGAAGACGCAAUCACCAUCUAAACCACGUCCCUUUCCUCUUCCUCUUGCCUCUGUGCAACUCGGCGAAACCAAGAAAAUAACCUCCGGCAAGUCCGACGGCUUUCGAAGCCAUUUCCUGCCAAACCACGGCGCGUUGGCCGGCGUGCAAGGUAUCAAUCUCUUCGUCCCGUCAAGUACUAUAACUUUUCUUUUUGUUUCACUCAAUUUAAUUGAGUAUUGAAGAAGUUAUACUCAUUUGAAUCUUACCCAGUUUCCGGCGACCUCCGAGGCUUUCGAGGAAAUUUCAGGCCAAACCAUGGCGAGUCAGACGUGAGGUAUCAUUCUCUUCGUCUCUUCCAGGACUACAACUUUCGUUUUUGUCUCGCUUGAUUUCGUUGAGUAGUGACAAAGUUAUGGCUGUUUAAAGUGGGGUGGUUUUCCGGCCGAAUUUCCGGCCUUCUUCUUCCUUGGCAACAGGCCACCCGGCCUUUCCCUCUCCCUCGGACCUUAGGCCCGUGUUGUCUUAAGCCCAAAACCCUAGCCUUUAGUUUUAAGUUUUAUUAUUUGGUUUUAAAACCCUAAAAAGGGCCUUGGGCCGGUGGUUUUUAAAAAGGGCUUAAAGCCCUGUUUUUCUUUAUUUAUUUUUAUUAAGGCCUUAAGGCCUUGUGAUUUUGUGCCCGUGGGUGUGUGUGUUAGGUGUGUAUGUGUUUAUGCAUGCACAUGCAUGCCGUGUGUGUGUGUGUAUUUGUAGUAUGUGUGUGUUUGGGCUAAAGCCCAAACCCCAAUUCUCACCCUAAAACCAUUUUAACCCAAAAUCCUAGGUUCCUAAAAUCCUUUAAAACCCUAAACCCAUCCAAUCCCAAAUCCCCUAUUUUAUUUAAACCUAAACCCUAAUCCGGAUUUCAAGCCUAAAACCCAUUUGACCGUUGACCCCCGGUCAACGUUGAUUUUAGGGUUGACUUUUCGGGUUUUCGUCCGGGACCCUUCUUAGGGUAAUUCGACGUUCUAAAUCCGUUUCCAAUGUCCAUUUUCCCAAAUUCAAUUGUUAUUAUAUAGUUUUAUUUAUUGGACUCUUUAUGUGCUUAGGGGCAAUUAUUGUGACGUUUCCAUCUUCGCUAGUGGCACAGCUUUUGGCAACUAAGUAUUGUGAGUGGACCCCUUCUAGAAUUACAUGAUUUGAUAAUUUAAUUGCAUAAAUGAUUAGCAUGCCUACGAAUUUAUGAUUUGAUUUAUGUGAAGCCUGAUGAUUUAAUAUAUUGAUUAUCGUCUCGGGUUUUGGUGAGGAAUUAUUUGUUAGCCUAUAUUGAGCUAUAUUUUAAUAUAUCGUAUUUUCUAUUAAAACCAUGAACUGGUAGACUAUCUGAUAGAUGACGAUAGGAUGCUAGAACAUGUUUUUGAACCCCUCUUUAUAGUGUAGACGAUGAUCGGUAACCUAUGCUAUGAAGUGGUUUUUUUUAGAGAGACGUAACUAUUUGUGCGUACCUAGUAGACACUAUGCCGCCUGGGGCAAGGAACUGGUGUUGGCAUUUAGGCCGGGAGAAAUAAUCCCUAGCGAAAGGCUGAGGGACACGGAGACAGGCAGUGGGCCAAGAGGGAGUUAUCUCUGGCUACGGGCACAGAGACUGAGGUGCAAGCAUUGGGCCGGGAGUUAUAUUUAUUCAGUGAUCUUUCUAGCAGCACACUGCGUUUACGAGACGAUUUAUGAUGCGUUUACUGUUUUGAUUUCCGCGAUGUUUUUCCGCGUUAUGGCGUUUGAGAUAUUUUUGGCAUACUAGGAUUUUUAUUAAAUCCAUCACUUAUUAUGCUAGUAGUUUUCAUUUAUAUAAACUUUGGGGGUUAGUAUGUUGAUAAUUGUUUUAUUAUUAUUGUAUAUAUAAACUUGGUCCACUCACCUUUGUUUUGCGCCCCCAUUCAGGACUUAGAAUCAAGGCACCUAAUCCCGGCGUGAAGACACUUUCGCAGCAGCAUCUUCGGAUCCUCUCGAUGUAGGACUCACUCCUUUACUCAUUAAAUUUUAUCUUAAUUCUUUUUAGUGAUUAGAUUUAGUUGUAUGCUCUGAGCACGUUCCUAAAACUUUUAACUCUUAGUUUUUAAAUUCAUAACACUUACUUAUUUCUUAUUCUUAGCUUUUGUAUCAAUUAAUGGCUUUCGUCACCCUCGGGUGUCGGCCAGCAUGUGUCUUCCUGGUAUUCGGGGAAUAUCAGGGUCGGGGCGUGUCACAAUAUUUACGGAUUAAUUACAAAAUUUUGCUAAUACCUAUUGCAGAUUUCGAACUGUAGAAUUUUUUUUAUAAAUUUUUUCUUUAAUUUCAACUAAAUCUGAAUGAGUACUUACCCCAUUGUAAAUUUCCAUCGAAGACUUUCCAACUAUAUCGAUAUUUUAAACACUGGUUUAGACCAACAUGUUUAAUAUCCAGUGCAUGCAAAUAGAAUGUCAAAUCUUUUUGAAAAACUUCAGUAUGACUGCCACUUAAGGGCAACUAGCAUAUUAAAGAGACCAAUGCAAAGUUGGAUGAGACUAAAAUACAUAAAGUCUCAUGUUUUGGUGAGAUGUGGUUUACAAAUGAUAUAGCAUGUGCCCUACGAAAAACGAGAUCGGAUUACCUAAUUGAAGUUUCUCUAGCAUGAAAAAUUCAAGAGGGAUGUGACGGUUCCGGAAAGUAAAAAAUCACACAUUUUUAUUAAUAAUUUUUUUGUUCGAAUUCGGAAAUGUAUAGAACUGAACAAAUGGAAUAGUGGCUCAGUGAUACCAACAAUUUCAUGUUGCAAAUUACAAAAAAAAAAAAAAAAAAAAAAAAAAAAGGAAAUGUUUUACACAAAAUUAAUGACAAUUAGAGUUAAACAACAGAAACUUGCACUUUAAAUGGUUUUUUUCUGCUGCUUUUGGUAUGUAUAUGCUUUUUCCGCACCGCUGGCUACUGUAUUCUCGGUAAUUUUCAUCGUCAUCCCAGCUGCGUUGCGAGCAUGAACGUUUGAUUCCUGUCAUUGGGGUUUCACAUACUCUGUCAUCACAUGAACCUCCAUGAUCCUUCCUUUUAAACAGCUUUCGAAGUGGAUUUGACUUUGGUUUCAAUGGUUUCAGCUGUUUUGGGGCCCAAAUUCUCUGCAGAUCGGGCAUCCAUCUUGUGGAGUAAGCGAACCUCCGAGCCCUCUCUCUCCUCUCUUGAACUUCAAGUAACUUGCGAGCAUGGUCGUCCUUUUGUUUGAUCUCUUCAGCGCUCGGUCUUCCAAUAUCAGUUUUCAGCGGACGAAGAGACUCACCUACUGCUGGUAAUGAAUCCCAGAUUCUAUAACUUCCAUCCACUUCGACACUCUUCGGUUUUUCUUUACAGGAUCGAUUGCUAUCCUAACUGUUGAGUAAACUAUUAGGGAGUUCUUCCUCAUCAGCAAACAGCAACAAAUCCAUUUUCUUAUAGAUUUUGCGAACCACAUCUUCAAGUGUCUCACAGUACCUGAAAAAUUCCAAAUUCAAAGAUUAAUCUAUCUGCUUAAGUUAAUUUUCCAUCUCAAACAAAAAUUGAUUGCCCGCACAUGUACUUCCGGAAAACUAAUUCCAGGAACGGAUUAUUUAAGCAACAUCGUUUCUUCAAGGAUCAUACUGUAGACAUACACUAUUGGCACAUUGCAAAAGUUGUAUAAACAUAUUCCACACUCGUUCAGAAAAACAUGGGUACGAUGUGCGCAUAACUGGCCUAUAUCCUGUCAAUCUACACUGAUAAGGAAAGACACUUUAACUCAUCUAAGAUUAUAAAGACAACCACUUUCCUUAUUUAGCAUUGUUGCAAAGGUAAGUAGGACAUGAUUUGUUAGAUAGGUAGUAAUAUCCCACAUGAAAGUGGAACACAGUGGCACCGGAAAUGUGUAUUUGUUGAGACAUGAACGAUAGACUGAAUGCAGCGUGUGCUAUAUAGCCUUUCAGCGAAAGCCAUAAUGCCUCAGUAAAACAUCCAUUAUAUAAAGUAAAGAAUAAUUUCAAGGGUAGGGGUUUUCAACUGUGGUACAGAUUUAUUACCUGCUUUUUAUGAUCUUUUCAACAUAAUCAUACACUCCAGUCACCAAAGAAGCCCUCCAGAUGACAUCGAAUUUUCUCCAAAAAGGAGCAAAUCUGUUUUACAGACUUCUGUUUUGUAGAUUCAGCAAUACGUGCACCAACCUCUGAUUGUAGUAUCUCCAUCCGGAAAAAUAUCUGCAAUUCAUAUCGUGCACGAGCUGGCGCAAGGAGGCGGCGAAGCACGAAGCCCGGGGCGGCGAUGCCGGGUCGAGGCGAAAUGCGGGGAGGGAAUUGAGGGUUUGGGAGAGGGAAUUGAAAGUGGGGCCGGGGAGGUGGAAAGAGAGGGAGAGAGAAGUGGGGAGCUUGGAGGAGGAGAGCAGCGGAGAGAGGGAGGAGAAGAAGGGUCUGAAGGCGAAGAGAGAGGCGGAGAGAGGAGGGAAAGAGAGGAUGGUUUUGACGGCGGCGAGGAAGGCUGUGAGAAAUGGAGCUGGGUUUUGGAGGUGGAGGAGUGGGUUGAGGCCUAGGAGGAGGACGAUGCGCUGCGUUUUGCCGUAGUCGGCGAUUGGGUCGCCGGAGCUCCGUUCAGAUGCCAUCGCAUUUGCAGGAGGAGAAAGAGACGGACUUGGGUUGCAGAGAAGGGAGAUGCAAAUGUGGAAUUAAGGAACAGUAAACCGAAUACGCAGUCGUUUUAGUAGAAAAACGACGAUACGGUAGAUGCUUGAGCGGGAAACCAAAUUUUGGCUGUAAAGGAAAUGUUUUAGGCCCCGUUUGGGAUUGAGGUGAUUUUAAAAAAAGCCACUGUGAAAAAAAGCUGAGGGUCAUUUUUGUGUUUGGUAAACUGAAAAAAGGGCUUAUUUUGGAAGCUGCUGUGAAAAUAAGCUGAAAAUCAAAGGAAAAGCUGAAGCUGCUAUUUGCUGCUUUGAAAAAAAGCCAGUUUUUUCAAAGCACACAGAGCUACAAUGCUCCUUUAAUGAAAAGACACACUAUCAUCCUGAUUUUUUUUCCAAAAGCACUUUCACAAAAAAGUUUACCAAACACUCUACUGCUUUAUUUCACAGCCGCUUAUUCUCACAGCACAGCCGCUUAUUCUCACAGCAGCUUUUUUUCAAAGCACAGCAAUACCAAACCAGCCCUUAAUCUCAUGAAGGACCUGUUUGGACUGCAUCUAAAUUUGUUAAAAGCGCUUUUAGAGAACAAAAGAGCUUUUGACAUCAGUUGAAAAAAAAAAAAUAUUUAAAGUACUUCUUCACGUGAAAAAAACACAUGGUUUUUAAUGAAAAUUCCAACAUGAUUUGAAUGAAAGUGCUUUCAAAAAGUAUUAUGAAUAGAUAUGCUUUUUUAUAUGCUUCUAUGAAAAGUGCUUUUUGCAAACAAUGUCGGGCUCGUUUGUAAUUACUUUUAAAAUGGUUGAAAGUGUAUUUCGUAAAAAUAUUUUUAGAAACAAUAUUUAGUAAAAUGCAAGUGAAUCCUAAAAAAAACACUUCAAGAAUAGAACAACCAAAGGGGCGAAAACUGUAAACCUCAUAGCAACCGAAUUACAAUUCGAGAACAUACCCGUUACUGAAUCCCAAAUCGCUGGUUCCCAAGUGUAGUCAUGCACAAGCUCGUUUAGAACCAAUAUUUUCUCUAAGAACGAUUUCAAUCAUUUGAAAAACAUUUUUAAACGAACUGAUGUUUUUAGGAGAAACACAAUGAGGAGCAAAUGAUUCCUAGGCGAGAAGAAAAACUAGACAGAAUGUUAAAUAGCACAUUAUGUACCAAUUUUUCUUCAACAAAUUGGAACUACUGAGAAGUUUGGAAACUAAAAAGUAAAGAUUGAUUCUAAGGAUUCUAACCCUGAUGAUUGCUUAUACAGUCGAACUACUUGAAUAGACUGGACUACCGAAGAUAAACUCAUACAUAUACGAAUUAUUAAAAAGUGAAAGAGGCUCAUCUCAGUUUUUUUUUUUUUUUUUAGUUGAAAGAAAAAAAAGGUAAAACAUGGAGAAGAUCAUGAACAGUAAUGGGUUUUAGUAUAUAUAAAUAUAAUUUGUAACUGUAUCUGUCCAAAUAUGCCGUGCAAGUUCUAUUCAUUAGCAGGUACUUUGAUUGCCAUGCAGUAAGAGCAUACAACGGAGAUUGGCUUUGUAUCAAGGCGUACGUCCCAUACACCUCUUUUAUGGGUGAUGCUGUCCACACACUUCUUUUAAUUACCAGUCGUCAUAUAGAAUGAAUUCAAGAGGAUCAAAUGACUAAAAUUAACAGAGAAUAUGUAAAAGAUAAACCAGAGUGUAUGGAUAACACCACCCUAUCUUAUUAGGAUAAUAACAUCCGAUGUGUUUGAUAUAAUCUUUUAGGGACUAACCAAAACAUUGAGUUACAAAAGUCAAACACUUCCGAUGAUGGAAGAACUAUAUCCACUUCUAUCGUCACAAAACUUGGACAAUAACAUCACACCACCAUACUUUGACGACUUCUUUAUCACCGGCAGAAUUUCCGAAUUCAACAAAGCAGCCGGAACAUACCCACUCUUGGCCGCCUUAGGAGCCGCCAGCAACCCCAAAAACAUCUUCCCUGUCUAAUACAAUGAUGUCACUUGGCGUCUUAACAAGAUGGGAGACUUUGGAGGGACUUUAUUGAGUACUCCAGAGUACUCAGUACUCUCAUUUGUUUAAAAAUAUAAAAAUCAAAAUCUAACGAUUAAAACAUCUAGAGUAUCCAUAUAUAGUACUGCUCAAAACUUUUUGAGACAUUGGACGUGAUCCCUCCUAGAAAUUAUUAAGUUAUACAGUAGUACACUUCAGCCGUGAUACUUUCAUUCAAAGGCUAGCUUUAUACUAAUAUGUGAUACUUUCAUUCCAUAUUUGAGAGCCAUUGGAUAAGUAUAAAGCUAACCUUUACAAUAUGAGCUAGUUAGUUAGCCUUCACACACACAGUGCCUGCCUAUCAUGUAACCAUUGACAAUGAUACCCGACAAUUUAUUUGGAGAGAGGGUCCUCACUCAUUUAUUUGGACCUAUAACUUCAUUUCAUAAUAACUCCAUCACAUCAUUUUAUGUACCAUAGUUUAUUCAAUUUCAAAAAUUAGUACACGCAAUAACAUGUUUUAUCGUAAAAUAUACGAGGUUUUUUAGUAUAUUAGAAAUACGAGAUGAUGCACCACAUGUCAUUAUAUAAAUGAAGAGAAAUUUUUUUUUUUUUUAAAUGUGCCUCCACUUAUAUAAUGUAUUGUACCACCCAAAUUCUGAAUAAGUGAAAGAUCUCUCCAAAAAAUACAUAUGCAUGUUUUAUUCAAAAGGUAAGGAAUGAUGCGUCAUCAUCCCUAACACACUUUAUUAUAGUAGUAGCAUCAAUUGAGGCAGAGAAGUUAAUUAGAUGCUGUCCUUAAUGGAUGCACUAUAACCGUUGUCAUAGAACCUGCUCCAAAGCAUAACUCCUCCGUACUUGGGCGAAUUCUUAAUCGUUGGAAGAACUUGUGACUUGAGAGCGUCAGCAGGAAUAAAUCCGCCGCUUGGAGCGGCCUCAGGAGCUGCCGGUAACCCCAUGAACACCUGGGUGGCCGGAACCGAGGCCCAUUGGUUCCAACUGCUUAAAAGAGCGUCGGCAUUACCGUCUGCAUACUGGCAUGGGGGGUUGUUGUAGAACUGAACCCAAACGUAGUCAAAUAAACCGGUUUGGAUAGCGGCGUCCAGGUGAGCAUCCGGGAUCGGACAUUGUGGAGCUGCGGCUAAAUAGACCGUUUUUGCCUGUGCGUUGUGUCCGUUGAGUGACCUGGCGAGCUCAUCAUAGAACUGCGCACCACCCGCCUCAAUGUCGAAAUCAACGCCGUCCAAAACCGCGUCCCCAAGCGGGCGCGAAGCGGACUGACCACCUAAGAAGUUGUUCCAGAUGUAAUCAGCAACUUGCCUUGCAUCAUCAGCUGAAGUGAGAGAGUAACUUCCGGCGCCCCCUCCAAUCGAGAGGAGGACUUUUAUGUUUUUUGAUUGGCAGGUUCUGAUGUCAGCACUCAGCCCCGUGCAAGUACCACUAGGGGGGUCGCAGUGGCCGGCGAGGUUUAGGACAGGGGUUUGGUUGUUUCCGAAAGUAGUGAGGAAAGCUAUGUUAACAAACUGGUAGUUGCCUGAGUUGCAAGCAUCUGCUAGGGUUCCUUCGUUGCCGUUUUGGCCCCAAUAGAUCGCAAUUCCGGCGGCUUGGGAGGACUUGCAUGAAGAAAUGAGGAUCAAGAGGGACAGAGUUAGGGUUAGGGUUUGUGUUUUGGAUGCCAUUUUUGUAUGUGUUUUUUUGGGUUGUUGCUCAAAGUGCUUGGGAGGGGACAUGUACUUAUAGGUGGAGACUUACUGGUUAAGGUUUAGGGGAAGAAAAAUAUGACACACGAGUUCUGCUUGUAAGAAAUGGAUGCCAGUCUUCUGCUUGUCAAUCAAGUUAGCUAGGGCCUGUUUGGUCGAAGUUUCACAUGAAACGUCGAUUAAGUUAGGUCGGGUUGGAAAUGCUUUCUUCAAAAACCACUUACACACGUAAGCUCUUCUUAUAUUUUUCAUAAUAAUGCAAGUGCUUUUGGAAAAAACACGAGAGGUGUUUCGCAUGUGUUUUUUUCAAAAAGCACUUCAAAUAUUUUUUCUACCUAAAAAUCCAUUAAAGCUCCUUUACUUGUUUUAAAGAAACUUCCAAAAUAAUAUUUAAAGAAAAAUUACUUCUAGAGAGAAUUAUAACAUGCUAAUUGAGAGAUCCCGAAACUAGAAACUAGAUGGUUAUAGUGAAGCGUGACCUUAACUGCUUAAUUAGGUGAAAAAAGCCAUCAAAUUUGACAAAAAGUCUGAUGAAAGGUCAUAGCUGUAUGCAUAAUCCGUAGAUGAGAUAAUCAUGAAACAAUACGUGGGGAAUCAACACAGCCUUAUCAUCGUCAAAAAAUUUUAGUGUUCUAGAAACACGAUCUGAUAUACAAAAUGUUUUAACAUCAAUUGAACGUUUUGGAAAUUUGUGGAUAGAAACCAAAUGGAAUAUGCUUGCUAGCUGCUAUAUACAUCUUGGAUUUUAGCUGAGGUGGCCAUUGGCCAAGGACUGCGAUCUAAUCACGAUGCUUUAAUUUCGCAGUACGAAAAAAAUUUCAGAUAAAAUUUAGAACAUGUUUAGGGAGUGCUUUCAAAUCACUGAAAGCGAUUUUAGAAAGAAAAAAAAUGUUUAUACAACUAAUUUUUAAUAAAAAUGCAAGUUAAUUCUCUAAAAGUAUUGAAAUUAGUGCUUCUUUGAUGAAUUACUUUAAGUGCUUUUGGAGCUCAAAAAUAUUUUCUCAAGUGGUUUCAGUUAUUUAAAAACACUUUCUAAACGAGUUAAUGACUCGUGUAUGGCAACAUUUAGCAAGUAAUAGCUCUCAUGAAUUGGAUUGUGGUGAUGUGAAAAUGGGUUUGGGUAAGUUUAGUUUAGAUCAGUCACCAGUGUAUAAAAUAUCCAUGAAAUUGUCGAUAUUUUCAUCAAAAUAUCCUUAAAAUUUAGGGUCCAUAAGGAAAAGAAGGGUAAAAUAUAAAUUUCAACCUAUAUUGGCGAGAUAUAAGAAAACAAUGAAUAUCGACAAUAUUUACCAAUUAACUACAAAAUGUUGCUAAAACCUAUUGCAGAUUUUGAACUUUAGAAUUUUUUUUUUAUAAAUUUUUUCUUUAAUUUCGACUAAAUCUGAAUGAGUUGAUACUUGAUAUGCUUAUCCCAUUGUAAAUUUCCAUCAAAGACUUUCCAACUAAAUCGAUAUUUUAAACAUUGGUUUAGACCCACAUGUUUAAUAUCCAGUGCAUGCAAAUAGAAUGUCAAAUCUUUCAGAAAAACUUCAGUAGGACUGCCACUUAAGGGCAACUAGCAUAUUAAAGAGACCAAUGCAAGGUUGGAUGAGACUAAAAUACAUAAGAGCAAUUCCACCGGGGACCAAAUGUCCCAGCCUCCAGUCCAAAAACCAAGCCAGGCCUCUGUCAAUCAAGUCCACCCCAACAAACUGACUGGUACCCAGCCCGAGUUGGGCAAGAGCCCAGCCCAAAAGAGACUGAGACAGAAGCCGGGGAAGAAGCCUGGCGCGUGCACUUCACGUAGCCGUUUGGCGAGUGCCCGACAAGCUUUCAGACGCCGGGGCCCGCGUGCAGGCGCUGUCAGUCCCCCCCCCGAGUUGCGACGUGGCUACCUCUCUGCCGUUGGAUUUCCAACGGCUAGUUUUCUAGACCGUUGGAUUUCCAACGGUAAAAAAAUUUUAAAUUUUACUUUUAAACUAGACCGUCGGAUCAAAGAUCAACGGUCCACGUUUUUUUCACAAAAAGUAAAUUAAAAAAAAAAAAAAAGGGCCCAACGGUCAGAAAUAUGACCGUUGGCCACGUGGCAACUCCCUAGCUCUUGGAUUUGAAUAUUUUUCAAAUCCAACGGUCCAGAUUAAUUAACUAUAUUAAAAUUCAUUAAAAAUUAUUAAAAAAUACAGAAAAAUUAUUAAAAAAUACAGAAAAUUUUAAAAAAAUUACAGAAAAUUUUGAAAAAUGUUAAUUUUUUUUCCUAUAAAUACCUAACCCUCAUCUUCUACCUUUACACCACAUUCCAAUAUUUUCUACACUUUCUAUACUAUCUACAUUUCAAAAUAUUUUCUACACUUUAAGAGAAAAAAAAUGUCUUCGUGGAAGCUCAUUGAAGAUGUUACGUUGUGUGAAUGUUGGGUUCACACUACUCAUGAUCCGAUUACGGGUAAUGAGAUGGAUAAGCGAGAGAUGUGGAGUAAAAUUACGAAAGCGUUUUGUGAUGUACAUGGAGAAAACGCCAGAACUAGUCAAGGUCUUCAAGGUCGUUGGAAAAAACUCAAUGCAUCAUUUACUUGUUGGAAAAACGCCAUCUCUCAUGCUUCCGGUAACCUCCGUAGUGGGACAAGUUUAGCGGAUCAGGUGACAAUAUUUUUUAUUUAUUUAUAUGCAUUCCACUCACAUUAAUAUUUUGAUUUAUUUAAUUUCGUAUGUAAUUUUUAUCUUAUUUCUUAUGUAAUUUUUAUUUAAUUUCUUAUGUAAUUUUUAUUUAAUUUCUUAUGUCAUUUUUAUGUAAUUUAUAUGCAUUCCACCCGUAUUAAUAUUUUGAAUUUAUUUAUUUGUGUUACACCCGCAUUUUUUAACACUAUGUUAUCCCACUUUUUUAUAGACACUACAAGCUCAAGCAUUCUACAAUUCAAAGAACGGGAACAAAUCAUUCAAUAGAUUGGAAUGUUGGCAAAUUGUCAAAGAUUGCCCUAAAUACAAAAUUGUGGCAACUGGUCCAGAAGUUGUCAUGCACGGUAUGGGUCUACAUAGUUCUCCAGAACCAGACAUGGCCGAACAAGAAGCCGACACAUUUCAAGACACGGAAGGGACGGCUGAACAAGUGCCCGAGACCCAACCGACUCGUCAGUCCCUAAGGCCUCUAGGUAAAAAGGCGUCAAAGAAAAAAGGUAGUUCUUCCAAAAAAUGACUACACUAAAUAUAUGGAGGAACUUGCUCGCCAAGGUGAACUAAACUUGGCACGAGAAAAGGCUAGAGAUGAGGAAAAAGUUGCUGCUAUGGCAGCAAUAUUAGCAGCUACUGAGGCCCGUGAUGCGGCGGCUGAAAGACAAAGAGAAGUAGUUAAUCGAGAGAACGAGCUGGUUAGAGAAGCACUUCAUCGAGAAAAUGAAUUGCUUCGAGAAGAAAGGAUGGCUCAAGCAUCGUGAUCGUGACACUAUGAGCAAGUCUCUAGUAGGACUGUCUCCGAAUUCUAAAUAUUUUUUAGACAUCGGAAAAAGAGAUGCCAUGCGUAGGAGGCGUGCAAGAGAUGCGGAAACAAGUCAAGGGGGUUCUAGCUACACAAAUCAUGGCAACCAAGAUCCUAGCACCACAUAUCCUAACUCGAGAGACUUUAUUUAAUUUCUUAUGUAUUUUUAUGUAUUUUCUUUCUUUUUUCUAGUAGAACUUUAUUUAAUUUCUUAUGUUUUUUCUUUUUUUUAGGUUUGAACUUUAUUUAUUUUCUUAUGCAAUUUUAAUGUAAUUAUUUAUUUAAUUUCUUUUGUACUUUAUUUAAAACACAUGAAAUAAGAUUACACAUAAACUCACCAAAUAAAUUUAAAAACAAAACACAUUACAUAGAAUUACAUAAACUCACCAAAUAAACUUAAAAACAAAACACACUACAUAGAAUUACAUAAACUCACCAAAUAAACUUAAAAACAAAACACACUACAUAGAAUUACUUAAACUUAAAAAAAAAUACAAUUUAUUCUUCAACCACAAGCCUCAUUCUAAUUAUCUUCGCCUCCAUGCAAUCCCCACUGGUGCUCAAUCAAGUCAUUCUGGCGGGUUACGUGCCAGUAUGGCUCUUGCACAUUAGUGUACCGCUGAACGAUCAAUUCAUUGUAACGUCCAUCACGUUCCAACGGCUCGUGUUGCACUGGAUCUUCGGUCCCAUCAUGAGCACAAUAAAUACGUGUUCUUGAGUUGUUCAUCGGAUCUGGCUCAUAUUCAUCGACGGCAUCAUAAUCAUACUCAUCUUCAACAAUCAUGUUAUGGAGAAUAAUACACGUCAUCAUGAUGGAUCGAAGAGCCUCGACAUCAAACAUUCUAGCUGCAGCCCUGACAAUCGCCCAACGAGCUUGCAGGAUACCAAAACAACGCUCGACAUCCUUCCUACACCCUUCUUGACAUUUUGCAAAGUGUUUUUCCUUUUCAGUCUGUGGAUGUGGCACUGUUUUGACAAAUGUUGACCACCUUGGGUAAAUGCCAUCUGCAAGGUAGUAUGAUCCCUCGUAUUGGGUACCAUUAACCCAAUAUGUGCAUCUCGGCGAGUUUCCUUGCAGCAGUUCGUCGAACACUGGGGAUUGGGCAAGGACAUUUAGGUCAUUUUGAGCUCCUGGAACACCAAAAAAAGCAUGCCAAAUCCAUGUAUCAAAUGAAGCCACCGCUUCCAAAAUGAUGCUUUUGGCUCCUUUUCUGUCGCCAUAUGCUCCUUGCCACGCACUUGGACAGUUUUUUCCAAGUCCAGUGCAUGCAGUCGAUGCUUCCAAUCAUGCCAGGGAAGCCUCGCAUCUCACCCUUCCUCAGAAGCCUUCGCAUGUCCCUUGACGUGGGUGUCCGGAGGUACUCUUUGGUGUAGAGGGCUUCAAUUGCAGAGCAAAACCGCAUCAGGGACUCCAGAACAGUUGUUUUUCCCAUCCUCGCGAUCUCAUCCACUUGAUCUGCAGAUGCUCCAUAUGCAAGCAUUCGCAAGGAUGCCGUAAUUUUUUGCUCGGGAAUAAGACCUAGAACAUGAAAAGCAUCCUCUUUUUGCACAAAGUAUGAAUCAUUGUUGCAAAUAUCACUCAUGAUUUUGUUGAACAAAUGUCGUUGCAUUCUAAAACGCCGUCUAAACAUGAUCAGGGAAUAUGCUAUUGGGAAUAAAAUAGUCUUCCAAUAGAUUUUUACCUCGUUUUUCCCUUUUUCUAUCGAGGUUUGCAACACGUCUUGGUUUGGCUAUCUGACCCACGGCUUCCAUGACACGGCGGGAAUGUGAGGCCUUCUGCCUUCUAUGGUGAUCAUCCUCAUCCUCCUCCAUGAAGAAAGCCUCAUCUCCACCUCCACCUUCCUCGAGAUUGGCCAAUUCUGCCUGUUGUGCCAACAACCUUUGUUGUUGCUCUUGCAACUGCUUAUACACCCUUCUUGAAGAAGACAUUGUAAUAAGAACUCAAGAUUUGAAAAUGAUGAACAAGGAUUCUGAGCUAAAAAGAAGGAUUGAGCUUGGUGUGAGGAUGGAUGUAGGGAUGUAGGGUUUAUAUGGACAAAAAAAGAAAGGAUGAGGUUCUGGACAAUGCCACGUGGCACUACGUGAUUGGUUGAAAAUCUUAUCGAAAUCUUGGCUAAAUUAUUGUAAACCGGAAGUGACACGUGGCGUGUCAGGAUUGGUCGAGAAUAUUAUCGAAAAUCUAUCCACAAAAUAGUACGUUCGGAUAAUGACACGUGGCAUGACGUGAUUGGUUGAAAAUCUUAUCGAAAUCUUGGCUAAAUUAUUGUACCAUGGAAGUGACACGUGGCGUGUCGGGAUUGGUUGAAAAUAAUAUCGGAAAUCUAUUCACAAAAUAGUACGUUCAGAUAAUGACACGUGGCGUGACGAGAUUGGUUAAAAAUCCUAUCCGAAAUUAAAACUAUUUUAUUUUUUUAUUCUUUAUUUUAAAUGGGUUAAAAAUCUUAUCCGAAAUAAACUUAAAAAAAAAACACACCAAAUAAAUGCGCUGGGUGCUAGCGCAUUUUUUUAGGGGUGGAGAUGCCUUGGCCUAUUACUGUUCACUCCAGUCUAUUACUGUUCAUUUGAGUGGAUAAAUGCGCUGGGUGCUGGCGCAAAGUCCACAGGGGUGGAAUUGCUCUAAAGUCUCGUGUUUUGAUGAGAUGUGGUCUACAAAUGAUAUAGCAUGUGCCCUACGAAAAAUGAGAUCGGAUUACCUAUUUGAAGCUUCUCUAGUAUGAAAAAUUCAAGAGGGAUGUGACGGGUCCGGAAAAUAAAAAAUCACACAUUUUUAUUAAUAAUUUUUUUGUUCGAAUUCGGAAAUGUAUAGAACUGAACAAAUGGAAUAGUAGCUCAGUGAUACCAACAAUUUCAUGUUGCAAAUCACAAAACAAAAAAAAAGGAACUGUUUUACACAAAAUUAAUGACAAUUAGAGUUGAACAACAGAAGCUUGCACUUUAAACGGUUUUUUUCUGCUGCUUUUGGUAUGUAUAUGCUUUUUCCAUGUCUCGAUGUAGUGCCAGUUCACAGGUCAUCAUCCUGGAACAAUGCUUUCGAAACAGAGCCGCACGGCUGGCUACUGUAUUCUCGGUAAUCUUCAUCGUCAUCCCAGCUGCGUUGCGAGCAUGAACGUUUGAUUCCUGUCAUUGGGGUUUCACAUACUCUGUCAUCACAUGAACCUCUAUGAUCCUUCCUUUUAAACAGCUUUCGAAGCGGAUUUAACUUUGGUUUCAAUGGUUUCAGCUGUUUUGGGGCCCAAACUCUCUGCAGAUCGGGCAUCCAUCUUGUGGAUGAAGCGAAUCUCCAAGCCCUCUCUCUCCUCUCUUGAGCUUCAAGUAACUUGCGAGCAUGGUCGUCGUUUUGUUUGAUCUCUUCAGCGCUCGGUCUUCCAAUAUCAGUUUUCAGCGGACGAAGAGACUCACCUUCUGCUGAUAAUGAGUCCCAGAUUCUAUAACUUUCAUCCACUUCGACACUCUUUGGUUUUUCUUUACAGGAUUGAUUGCUAUCCUCACUGUUGAGUAAACUAAUAGGGAGUUCUUCCUCAUCGGCAAACAGUAGCAAAUCCAUUUUUGUAUAGAUUUUGUGAACCACAUCUUCAAGUGUCUCACAGUACCUGAAAAUGUCCAAAUUCAAAGAUUAAUCUACCUGCUUAAUUCUCCAUCUCAAACAAAAAUUGAUCACCUGCAUUUGUACAUCAGGAAACUAAAUGCAGGAAUGAAUUAUUUAAGCUCCAUCAUUUCAAGGAUCAUACCGUAGGCUAAUAUGCUAUUGCAGAAGUUGUAUAAACAUAUUCCUCACUCGUUCAGAAAAACAUGCCUACGAUGUGCGGAUAACUGGCUUAUACCCUGUAAAUCUACACUAAUAAGGAAACACACUUAACUCAUCUAAGAUUAUAAAGAUAAUCACUUUCCUUUUUUAGCAUUAUUGCAAAGGUAAGUAGGAGAGCAUUGGAUGGGCAGUAAUAUCCCACAGGAAAGUGGAAACAGUGGCACCGGAAAUGUGUAUUUGAUGAGACAUGAACGGUAGACUGAAUGAGUGUCGAGAAAGCCAUAACGACUCGGUAAAACAUCCAUUAUAUAAAGUAAAGAAUAAUGCGAAAGGCAGGGGUUUUCAACUCUGGUACAGAUUUAUUACCUGCUUUUUAUGAUCCUUUCAACAUAAUCAUCUACACUCCAGUCACCAAAGAAGCCCUCCAGAUGACAUCGAAUUUUCUCCAAAAACGAGCAAAUCUGUUUUACAAACUUCUGUUUCAUAGAUUCUGCAAUACUUGCACCAACCUCUGAUUGUAGUAUCUCCAUACGGAAAAAUAUCUGCAAUUCAUAUCUAGUACUAGGUGAAGGAAAAGUGUAAAUGUAAUUGGAGACAAAUUUUCAUAUUGGUAGAGUUAUAACUGGAUUAAUGCAUAAUACAGAAGACAGUUCAGUUAUAAAUGAGAAAGGAUACUCUCGAACUAUUUUUCCAGAAGUCAGUCCUUCAGAUUCUGAAUCGGAUGCUUUAACAAACGGGCCGGAGCUUUUCUGCCUUGCAGUGAUAUCCUUGGGAUCUCUCAGUAGAAGUUUUAACACCUCAGCAGAAACCAAAUCAUCAGUAGCACCAGAUUUUACAAGGGAAGUUUGACUCUCUGAAAGGGCUUCUGUUUCCUGCUUUUUAUUUAACCAAUAUAUGGAUGAAUUCACAAGCCGAUAUGCCAAUGCCCCCAAGUCUACUGCUUCAUAUUCAAGCCCCUGUUGUAUCUUGUUGGAUAGACUACUGAAAAAAUCUUCCGACGUUUCUGAUCUAAAUUCCAAAGCAGCUUCAUCUUGUAUGCCAGAAGCCACAGUCAAAGAAUUUUCUCCAAUGGAAGGAGAUGAAGAAAUUGGCUGUUCACUUUCAUGGUGCAAGUUAUCCAACCUAUUGUCCAUCCCUUUUCUAUUGAGCUGGUCUGCCUGGGAUUCUUUCUCCACUAUUAGACCACGAUCGCUAGACUUCUUAAUUUGUUUCAUCCAGCAUUUCAGAAAUCGUAUCUUUUUUGAGUUAUAACAUUCCCUGGCAAAGUAAACCUCUUCCAAACCUAUCUCUGAGUGUUCAAAUGCUGCCUUGUAGAAGGCACUCCAUGUGAGAUCUUGUAGCAACUGUGAAUUUCUUUUGUUAUUUCUCUUCCUUCCCUCCUUGCCUGCAGAAUGCUUAUUGGAUGGCCCAGUUUGGUCCAAAUCAGCAUUCGGUUCGCAAAUCCCAUUCUUCAUAUUUCGACUUGAUUGGUCUGCUUUUGCUCCACCAAUAUCAUGCACUUUUGUCUGAGGGUGAAAUCCUUCAUCCACAAUAAACAGCCGAGCCGAAGAAACUGUGAAAGGUUUGAGAAUUCCGGUAGACGAUACACCACUGUCACUUGAAAGAGACACUAAUGCUCCAUGACCAUUCCUAUAUAAGAAACUCAAGAGAAUCUGCCAAAUGGGUGCUGACUUUCUCUUUGCAUUCUCACCCAAGUCCACUGCUACCACUUCUAGAACCUUAUCUGCAUAAUAAUUGCCAGAACUUUCUUUUCCAUCUUCACCAGGUUUUCCCAAAACAUCACAGACAAGGACUGGAUCAGAUAAGUGCCCCUUGAAUUUCAGAAACUCAUUGUACUUUUGCAAAGCCUUAACCUGGAACUUUGUCACGCCUUUGACAAAAUACCCCCAGAACAAUUCCUUCAGUUUACCACCCUUUGUUUGUGAAUUCAUGAUUUCUAGGGAAAAGAAAGCAUCAUCAGCUGCAUUUCUAGGCAACUUCUUCAAAUCAACCAAUUGAAGAUCACAAACCUUGCAUUCCAAAGGCUUCCCACUUACAUCUAAGAUCUCGAGACUCAACUGCGCAUUGACUUUCUUAUGACUAUCAUCACAACCGAAAAACUUGGAUGAAAUCCCUAUCUCGGGAUAAAUCAAACCAAAGGAAACAAGAGCAGAGCCAAGAAUAAUCCAACCAGUCGAGCAAAAUCCCCAUCCCAAACUCCUAACCCCACUCUCGAAAAACCCAAAUCUCGUCUUAUCCUCAUCGUUCCCAACCUUACCCUCACCACAUUCUAAUUCAUACCUGACAUCAACCCAGCUACACUGAAUAUCUCUACUCACAAAUGCUUCAUUCACAUUCUCAAAGAAACCCCUAAAUCUCUCGGAAAACGCUUUCACAUUUUCCAAAGACUCGUCACCCACACCCACUGUUAGGUCACAACUUCUAAAUUCCCUUUCUCGACCUGCUAGUAGCUGAUAGUAAUGGCGGUGAGUGAGUGGGAAGGAAGAUAGAGAGAGAUAGAAAGUUUCUUGUAAUAUUGUUUUUCUAAUUCAAUCCUGCAGAACAAUGCCACAAUUUGGUUCUUAUACAACCAUCCUUCUCACAAUGCCAGCUGGCUACUAACAAUAACGACAUGUAGCUAAAUAGUUUUCCACUAUUAUUCUAACCACUAUUAUAAUCAUAACACUACCCCUCCCUUACAAAAUAAACCUUGUCCUCAAGGUUAGAAUUAAAGACUGAAAUCAGGAAAUCUGGCAGCAAACUCGUCAUAAUCCUCCCAUGUAGUUUCGUCCUCUUUGUUGUUCUUCCACUGGAUUAACAACUGAACUCCAGCAGCUUGGCCCUUCUUGUAGACCCUCAUUUGUAGCACCUUGAGUGGUUCGAGUGGUAGCAACCCAUCAUCAGUGACAGUAGGCAAGAAUGGAGUUAUGUGACCUUGUCUCCCAAGUGCUUCUUCAAGCAACUAACAUGAAAGACUGGAUGAAUUUUUGAAUUCUCAGGCAGUUUCAAUCGGUAGGCAACCUUCCCAAUAUUUUCCAAAACCUCAUAAGGACCAUAGUACCGGGGAUGAAGCUUAUGGUAAGCAUGAGAUGACAAAGAUUGCAAUUGAUAGGGAAUUAAUUUCAAAUACACCAAAUCUCCUUCCUCGAAAACCCUCUCACUCCGAUGCUUAUCUGCUUGUGUUUUCAUCCGGUUCUGAGCUACUAGUAAAUUGGUCCUGAGCAUUGCUAAUAUUUUGUCCCUAGUUAGCAGCCCUUGCUCCACUAUAUCCAACUUAGCAGUGCCAAGCUCAUAAGACGCGAUGUGUGGUGGUGGAUAACCAUAGACCACUUCGAAGGGGGUGAACUUUGAGGAAGUGUGGUAGGAAGUGUUAUAGCUCCAUUCUGCCCAUGGAAGCCAGUGGAGCCACUUCUUAGGUUGACAGCUAGUGAAGCAUCGCAAGUAAGUUUCAAGGCACCGAUUCACCACCUCUGUCUGGCCAUCACUCUGUGGAUGGUAACCCGAGCUCAUACACAACUUGGAGCCUUGCAACUUAAAAAAAUUCUUUCCAAAAAACACUCAUGAAAAUGGUGUCCCUGUCACUCACAAUGGUAGAGGGCAUCCCAUGGAGUUUAAACACAUUAUCAACAUAUUCCUGAGCUACCAUGCUUGCCGUAUACGGAUGUGCUAAGGGGAUGAAAUGAGCAUACUUGGACAGCCUGUCUACGAUUACCAGGAUCACUGAUUUGCCUUUGCACAGAGGUAAACCAGUGAUGAAAUCCAUGCUUAUAUCCUUCCAUACAUGUGUAGGGAUCGGCAGAGGUUGAAGUAAUCCGGGAGGGGAAAUGGUUUCAUACUUAUUUUGCUGGCAUUCCCGACAUUCAGCCACCCAUGACCUGAGAUCUUUCUUCAUUCCUACCCAAUAGAAGCCCCUCUUCAAUAUCUGAUAAGUCUUUAGAACCCCUUUCAUGGCCUGCACUUGGAGAAGAGUGAUGUUCCUCAAAGACCUUCCUUUUCCAACUUGAAUCUGGGCUAAGCACGAUCCGUCCUUUGUAUUUGAGGAAACCGUUGUCUAAAUGGUACUUGGACAGAUUGGGGUCAAUUGCAGCAGCUUAAGAAUAUGCUAACACCUUCUGCACCUUGCUUUGAAUCCAACUAUCUUGUUCUAACCCUCUCCGAAGUUCAUCUAGCCACCCGAAGUAGGGGUAUGUGAUAGCUUUGCACUCCAAUAAGUCACUGAGAGGUUUCUCUUGUAAUUGAGACGAACCAACUACUCGAGAUAAGGCAUCAGCCAUUAUGUUGUCAUUGCCUUGCCUAUAUUGUAUCUCAUAAUCAAAUCCCAACAACUUGGCCACCCAUUUCUGUUGGAACGGGGUAGUAGUUCUUUGACUCAGAAAGUAUUUCAAGCUGCUAUGAUCUGUCUUUAUGAUGAAAUGGCGCCCUUGAAGGUAGUUUUGCCAUUUUUUGAUAGCACUAACAAUGGCAAUCAACUCUCUUUCGUAUGUAGACAAUGCUUAAUUCCGUGGUCCCAAUGCUUGACUUGUGAAAGCUAUAGGUCUGCCAUUCUGUUGCAACACAGCCCCUAUUCCAUUGCCAGAUGCAUCACAUUCCAAAGUGAAGGGAAUAGCAAAAUUGGGUAAGGCUAAUAGCUGCGGAGAAGUCAUUGUUCUUUUUAAUGCUUGGAAAGCUGCCGUGGCUUCAGGGGACCAAUUGAAACCAUCAUUUUUUGUUAGUUGAUACAAGGGUUGACACACCUUGCCAUAACCGGGGAUGAAUUUUCUAUAAUACCCUGAGAGCCCGAGAAAUCCCCUCAACUCUUUGACAUUUUUCGGUAUCGGCCAAUCUAUAAUUGCUUGAAUUUUAGUAGGAUCUGCAGCCACCCCAUCACGAGAGACGAUGUGCCCCAAGUAUUCCACCUGUGAUUGGCCAAAAGAGCAUUUCGAUUUCUUCACUGCUAAUUGGUGUUUCUGUAAUAACUCCAAAGUUUGGUGCAAGUGUGAAAGAUGGUCCUCCCAGGUCUUGCUGUACACCAAAAUGUCGUCAAAGAACACCAAGAUGAAUUUCCGGAGGUAAGGCUUAAAAAUGUCAUUCAUAAGGGCUUGGAAAGUGGCAGGAGCAUUUGUAAGACCAAAGGGCAUGACUAAGAAUUCAUAAUGCCCUUGGUGAGUUCGGAAGGCAGUCUUUUCCACAUCGGAGGGACAUACGGAUCUGAUGAUAUCCAGACCUAAGAUCAAGCUUAGAAAAAUACUGAGCGCCAUGCAAUUCAUCUAACAAAUCAUCCACUAAUGGAAUAGGAUAUUUAUCCUUAAUGGUAAUGCUGUUCAAUUCACGAUAGUCCAUGCAAAGCCUCCAAGUGCCCUCCUUCUUCUUGACCAAGAGAACUGGAAAUGAAAAGGGACUAUGACUUGGCUGGAUGAAUCCAGCAUCUAAAAGUUCUUGCACAGCUCGUUCAAUCUCAGUUUUUUGCAUAGGACCAUAAUGGUAUGGUCUAAUACUCGGAGGCUUGGAACCAGGAAGCAAUGGAAUCUGGUGAUCAUGAGCCCGUGGAGGUGGUAAGGUAGUAGGAGGCUUAAAAACCGUUUCAAAUUGCCUGAGCAUACCCUGCAGCUCAAUGAGUUGCUGGGGAUUCAAGUUGGAUGCCUCCAACGGAUUAGUUUCCAUUGAAUACAAUAAGACGCCCCAAUUAGAGUAUUUAAACUCUUUUUCAAGCUGUUGACAAACAGUAUCCUGUACCAAGUACGCUGGAGCAGUGGAAUGAACAAGUUUAUAGUGGUCUUUUCCCACAGAAAAUUCCAUGGUUAAGUUGUGAAAAUCCCACAAAACUGGACUCACAGAUGAGAGCCAUUUCACACCCAAUACAACAUCGCAACCCCCUAGAGGAAGUGCGUAGAGGUUAGUGUGGCAGCGAUAUGCACCCAAUUCCAAGGGAAUUUGUUGGCAACAGCCUUGACUUCGGACUUUACCCCCAUCGGCAAUCAUGACAUCGAAGGGUUUGGUGGUGUGACAAGGCCACCCGAGCUGCUUAAGCAACCUAGAAUCCACAAAAUUGUGGGUGCUACCAGAGUCAAGUAGUAUGGUAACAGGUAGAGUGUGAAGCACACCAGCCACUUUCAUGGUUUGUACCGUGGAGGGCUCAGUAGUGCCAUAGAACGCACAAGCACUCAACUCCAUGCUUGAUAGGGAAAGAUCAAUAGGCUCCAGUAAUUCACACUCUGUAGGUUCCAGCAAUUCACACUCGGUAGGCUCCAACUCAUUACAAACAUCAAGCAUAAGGAGCUGUUUAUUAUGGACACAUUUGUGCCCUCGAACCCACUUUUCAUUACAGAACCAACACUCGCCCUUGUCCUUCUUCCGUUGAACUUCCUCGGGGGUAAGUUUCUUAUAAGGGAGGGUUUGAGGAUGAGGCCUGGUAAGGGAAGGUAGAGGUAAGGCGAGAGGAGGUUUGAGUGGGGGAUGAGGUUUUGGGGGAGAUGGUUUCAAGUCCGUGAGUUUAGCAUUUAAUUGGGCAGCAAAGGAAAUGGCCUCAUGAACUGAGGAAGGGCGAAGCAAUUUAACAUCGUAACGCAAUUCCUUCUUGAGACCCCCCAGAAAGCAACUCUUUAAGAGAAUAGGACCAACAUCAUAGGUUCGAGUGGCAAGGCGCCGAAAUUCCACAAUAUAAUCACGAAGAGGGCCGGUUUGGCGGAGUUUGAAUAGCGACUCAGUGCAGUCCUCAAACUCCGGUGGACCAAAUUCCUGGCACAAAGCAGUCGUGAAUUCACCCCAGGUGGGAGUGGAAUGUACACAAUCGCGCCAACGAAACCAGUACAGCGGCUCAUUCUUGAAGUGGAAGGAGGCGGUCAAAACCUUCUGAUUCUCCGGAGUGUGAUAAUAAGCAAAAUAUUGUUCGGCCUUAUAGAUCCACGCUGAGGGAUCAUCACCGUCGGAGAAACGGGGAAAAUCCAGACGAUGUGACCGCUGCGGGCGAGGAGUAAAACCGCCGCCUUCAAAAGAAUCACGGCGCUGAAACCGUGGAGUGUCGAGACAACGAAAAUCGCCAUCAUCGGUCACAAUGGGAGGAGGAAUAUGUGGAUCUGGCACUAGAGGUGGUGGUGCAGUCGAAGAGCCAGCACCGCCUUGAGGACCAGGGUCGCGAUGGAGAUGCUCCAGGAGAAGGGCGAAUUUGGUUUCGAGAGCGGUGAAGCGGGUGUCGGAAUUGGCGUUGGAAGUCUGGAUCAGCUGAGGAAUGGCUCCCAUGGCUUCCAGAGUAGCUUCCACGGCGGAGAGGCGCGAUUCAACAGUGGACAUUCGAGAAUUUGUGGUGUGGCGGGGCAUACAAGAGGGAGACUCAGGAUCGAGAGGCUGAUACCAAUUGUUAGGUCAAAACUUCUAAAUUCCCUUUCUCGACCUGCUAGUAGCUGAUAGUAAUGGCGGUGAGUGAGUGGGAAGGAAAAUAGAGAGAGAUAGAAAGUUUCUUGUAAUAUUGUUUUUCUAAUUCAAUCCUGCAGAACAAUGCCACAAUUUGGUUCUUAUACAACCAUCCUUCUCACAAUGCCAGCUGGCUACUAACAAUAACGACAUGUAGCUAAAUAGUUUUCCACUAUUAUUCUAACCACUAUUAUAAUCAUAACACCCACAUUCGGGAAUUCUGUCAAACAGUUUGCAGACACACAGACGGGCGAAAACAGAACUACCAAAUUAGACCUCACAGCAACCGAAUCACUAUUCGAGAACAUACCCAUCAUUGGAUCGCAGAUCACGGGGUCCCAGGCGUAGUCGUGCACGAGCUGGCGCAAGGAGACGGCGAAAUGCGGGGAGGGAAUUGAGGGUGUGGAAGAGGGAAUUGAAAGUGGGGCCGGGGAGGUGGAAAGAGAGGGAGAGAGAAGUGGGGAGCUUGGAGGAGGAGAGCAGCGGAGAGAGGGAGGAGAAGAAGGGUCUGAAGGCGAAGAGAGAGGCGGAGAGAAGAAGGAAGGAGAGGAUGGUUUUGACGGCGGCGAGGAGGGCGGUGAGAAAUGGAGCUGGGUUUUGGAGGUGGAGGAAUGGGUUGAGGUCUAGGAGGAGGACGAUGCGCACAGUGCCUGCCUAUCAUGUAAAACCAUUGACAAUGAUACAAGACAGUUUAUUUGGACCUAUAAAACUAUAUUUAUGUAAAACUAUAUUUUAUUCAAUUUCAAAAAUUAGUACAUGCAAUGACAUGUUUGAUCGUAAAAAAAAAAAAAAUGAGAAAUUUUCAGUGUAUCAGAAAUACGAAUCGGUAAAAAAUCUCUCCAAAAAUACAUAUGCAUGUUUUAUUCAAAAGGAAAGGAAUGAGGCGCCAUCAUCCCUAACACACUUUAUUACAAGUAGUAUCAUCCAUUGAGGCAGAGAAGUUAAUUAGAUGCUGUCCUUAAUGGAUGCACUAUAACCGUUGUCAUAGAACCUGUUCCAAAGCAUAACUCCUCCGUACUUGGCCGAAUUCUUAAUUGUUGGAAGGACUUGUGACUUGAGAGCAUCAGCAGGAAUAAAUCCGCUGCGCGCGGCAUCAGUAGACGCCGGUAUCCCCAAGAACACCUGGGUGGCCGAAACCGAGGCCCAUCGGUUCCAACUGCUCAAAAGAGCGUCGGCAUUACCGUCUGCAUACUGGCAUUGGGCUAGGGGGUUGUUGUAGAACUGAACCCAAACGUAGUCAAAUAAACCGGUUGGAUAGCGCCGUCUAGGUGAGUAUCCGGGAACGGGCAUUGUGGAGCUGCGGCUAAAUAGACCGUUUUUCCCUGUCCGUUGUGUCCUUUGAGUGACCUGGCGAGCUCGUCGUAGAACUGCGUACCACCCAACUCAAUGUCGAAAUCGACGCCGUCCAAAACCGCGUCCCCAAGCGGGCGCGAAUCUGACUGACCACCUAGGAAGUUGUUCCAGAUGUAAUCAGCAACUUGCCUUGCCUCAUCAGCUGAAGUGAGAGAGUAAGUUUCGGUGGCCCCUCCAAUCGAGAGGAGGACUUUUAUGUUUUUUGAUUGGCAGGUUCUGAUGUCGGCACUCUGCCCCGUGCAAGUACCACUAGCGGGGUUGCAGUGGCCGGCGAGGUUUAGGACAGGGGCUUGGUUGUUUCCAAAAGUUGAGAGGAAAGCUAUGUUAACAAACUGGUAGUUGCCCGAGUUGCAAGCUUCUGCUAGGGUUCCUUCGUUGCCGUUUUGGCCCCAAUACGUCGCGAUUCCGGCGGCUUGGGAGGACUUGCAUGAAGAAAUGAGGAUCAAGAGGGACAGAGUUAGGGCUAGGGUUUGUGUUUUGGAUGCCAUUUUUGUAUGUGUUUUUUUGGGUUGUUGCUCAAAGUGCUUGGGAGGGGACAUGUAAUUAUAGGUGCAGGAGACUUACUGGUUAAGGUUUGGGGGAAGAAAAGUAUGACAGACGUGUUCUGCAGGUAAGAAAUGGGUGCCAGUCUUCCUCUUGCAACCGCGUCAAUCGAGUUAGCUGGGGCCUGUUUAGUCCAAGUCUUCCAUAAAACGCCGAUUAAGUUAGGUUGUGUUGAAAAUGCUUUCUUCAAAAAACACUUACACACGUAAGCGCUUCUUAUAUUUUUCAUAAGAAUGCAGGUGCUUUUGAAUAAAACACUUAAAGUAUUCAUCAAUUCCUCCCUUGAACUUGUGAUCAUUGGCCAAUUUCACCCCUCAACUUUAAUUUUGGCCAAUUUCCCCCCUCAACUCUCAUAAUUAGUCAAUUUGCACUCUACUGUUAAUUUUCCAUCUAUUCUUUUUUUUUUUCUUUCAAUCUUUCUAAUAACUUCCAACAAAGUACUAAAAUUAACAUAAACUCACCUGCAUAAUAUAGGGUAAAAUGUACAAAAACAUAAUACAAUUAGUAUGUGAUAUGGGUUGAUUAUAAAAAAAAUGUUAUGAAUCGGGUUUAAAGCAUGUAGAAGAAGAAAUAAUAAUCCUAAACUCAUGGAUCAGACCUAUUUCAAUAAAAUGUGUUAUUCUUAAUAAGGAAUCGAAAAUUAUGAAUUGACUAGUCAUUUUUGCACUAAAGCUCGAUUCUCCACAAUUUACUUGAACUUAGCUUUCACUUUUAUAAAGAAAAUUGUAUUCACAUACAAAAAUGUACACAUCAAUCCUUUUCGUUAUCAAUUUUGUAUAGUAAAAAAUCAAAUAAAAUUACUCCAUACUGAUUUAUUAUGACUAAUAAUACUAUCUAUGAUAAAUUGUAAAAUUCUAAAUUUUAAUCUAGUUGUAAUAGGAUAAAGACAUAGGAAAAUGAUUAACAUACAUCUUAUUUAGUUUCUUACACACACUUGUUUACUUAUGAUCAAAUUAAAAAAUUAACAGUAGGGUGCAAAUUGACUAAUUAUGAGAGUUGAGGGGGGAAAUUGACUAAUUAUGAGAGUUGAGGGGGGAAAUUGGCCAAAAUUAAAGUUGAGGGGGGAAAUUGGCCAAUAGUUACAAGUUCAGGGGAGAAAUUGAUGAAUACCUCAAACACUUAAGGUGUUUCGCAUGUGCGCUUUUUUUUUCAAAAAGAAUUUUAAAUGUUUUUUCAACCUAAAAAUCCAUUAAAGCUCCUUUACUUGUUUUAAAGGCACUUCCAAAAUAAUAUUUAAAGAAAAAUUACUUCUAGAGAGAAUUAUAACAUGCUAAUUGAGAGAUCCCAAAUUUAGAAACUAGAUAGUUAUGAAGUGUGACCUUAACUGCAUAAUUAGGUGAAAAAAGCCAUCAAAUUUGACAAAAAGUCUGAUGAAAGGUCAUAGCUGUAUGCAUAGUCCGUAGAUGAGAUAAUCAUGAAACAAUACGUGGGGAAUCAACGCAUCCUCAUCAUUGUCAAAAUAAAUCAGUGUUCCAGAAACACGACCCGAUAUACAAAGUGUUUUAACAUCAAUUGAACGUUUUGGAAGUUUGUGGAUAGAAACCAAAUGGAAUAUGCUUGUAACCAAAAUUGCUGGCUGCUAUAUACAUCUUGGAUUUUAGCUGAGGUGGCCAUUGGCCAAGGACUUUGGUCUAAUCACGAUGCUUUAAUUUCGCAAUCCAAAAAAAAAAUUCAGAUAAAAUUUAGAACACGUUUUGGGAGUGUUUUCAAAUUACUGAAAGCGAUUUUAGAAAGAAAAAAAAUGUUUAUAUAACUAAUCUUUAAUAAAAAUGCAAGUUAAUCCUCCAAAAGUACUGAAACUAGUGCUUCUUUGAUAAAACACUUCAAGUGCUUUUGGAGCUCAAAAAUAUUAUCUCAAGUGGUUUCAGUCGUUUAAAAACACUUUCUAAACUAGUUAAUGACUCGUGUAUGGGGCAACAUUUAGCAAGUAACAGCUCUCAUGAAUUGGAUCGUGGUGAUGUGAAAAUGGGUUUGGGUAAGUUUAGUUUAGACCAGUCACCAGUGUAUAAAAUAUCCACGGCAUUGUCGAUAUUUUCGUCGAAAUAUCCUUAAAAUUAAGGGUCCAUAAGGAAAAGAUGGGUGAAAUGCAAAUUUCACCCUAUAUCGGCGAUCUAUAAGAAAACAAUGAAUAUCGACAAUAUUUACCGAUUAACUACAAAAUUUUGCUGAAACCUAUUGCAGAUUUCGAACUUUAGAAUUUUUUUUUAUAAAUUUUUUCUUUAAUUUCGACUAAAUCUGAAUGAGUUGAUACUUAAUAUGCUUAUCCCAUUGUAAAUUUCCAUUGAAGACUUUCCAUCUAUAUCAAUAUUUUAAACAUUGGUUUAGACCCACAUGUUUAAUAUCGAGUGCAUGCAAAUAGAAUGUCAAAUCUUUCGGAAAAACUUCAAUAGGACUGCCACUUAAGGGCAACUAGAUUAUUAAAGAGACGAAUGCAAGGUUGGAUGAGACUAAUAUACAUAAAGUCUCGUGUUUUGGUGAGAUGUGGUCUACAAAUGAUAUAGCAUGUGCCCUACGAAAAACAAGAUCAGAUUACCUAUUUGAAGUUUCUCUAGUAUGAAAAAUUCAAGAGGGAUGUGACGGUUCCGGAAAAUAAAAAAAUCACACAUUUUUAUUAAUAAUUUUUUUGUUCGAAUUCGGAAAUGUUUAGAACUGAACUAAUGGAAUAGUAGCUCAGUGAUACCAACAAUUUCAUGCUGCAAAUCAUAAAAAAUGGAACUGUUUUACAUAAAAAUUAAUGACAAUUAGAGUUAAACAACAGAAGCUUGCACUUCAAAUGGUUUUUUUCUGCUGCUUUUGGUAUGCAUAUGCUUUUUCCAUGUCUCGAUGUAGUUCCAGUUCACUGGUCAUCAUCCUGGAACAAUGCUUUCGAAACAGAGCCGCACGGCUGGCUACUGUAUUCUCGGUAAUCUUCAUCGUCAUCCCAGCUGCGUUGCGAGCAUGAACGUUUGAUUCCUGUCAUUGGGGUUUCACAUACUCUGUCAUCACAUGAACCUCUACGAUCCUUCCUUUUAAACAGCUUUCGAAGCGGAUUUGACUUUGGUUUCAAUGGUUUCAGCUGUUUUGGGGCCCAAACUCUCUGCAAAUCAGGCAUCCAUCUUGUGGAUGAAGCGAAUCUCCGAGCCCUCUCUCUCCUCUCUUGAGCUUCAAGUAACUUGCGAGCAUGGUCGUCAUUUUGUUUGAUCUCUUCAGCGCUCGGUCUUCCAAUAUCAGUUUUCAGCGGACGAAGAGACUCACCUUCUGCUGAUAAUGAGUCCCAGAUUCUAUAACUUUCAUCCACUUCGACACUCUUUGGUUUUUCUUUACAGGAUCGAUUGCUAUCCUCACUGUUGAGUAAACUAUUAGGGAGUUCUUCCUCAUCGGCAAACAGUAGCAAAUCCAUUUUUGUAUAGAUUUUGUGAACCACAUCUUCAAGUGUCUCACAGUACCUGAAAAUGUCCAAAUUCAAAGAUUAUUCUAUCUGCUUAAUUUUCCAUCUCAAACAAAAAUUGAUCACCUGCACUUGUAUUUCGGGAAACUAAUUGCAGGAAUGAAUUAUUUAAGCUCCAUCGUUUCAAGGAUCAUACCGUAGGCUAAUAUGCUAUGCAGAAGUUGUAUAAACAUAUUCCUCACUCGUUCAGAAAAACAAUGUUACAAUGUGCGUAUAACUGGCCUAUAUCCUGUAAAUCUACACUAAUAAGGAAACACACUUAACUCAUCUAAGAUUAUAAAGAUAAUCACUUUCCUUUUUUAGCAUUAUUGCAAAGGUAAGUAGGAGAACAGUGGCACCGGAAAUGUGUAUUUGAUGAGACAUGAACGGUAGACUGAAUGAGUGUGGAGAAAGCCACAAUGCCUCAGUAAAACAUCCAUUAUAUAAAGUAAAGAAUAAUACGAAAGGCAGGGGUUUUCAACUCUGAUAUUUAUUACCUGCUUUUUAUGAUCUUUUCAACAUAAUCAUCUACACUCCAGUCACCAAAGAAGCCCUCCAGAUGACAUCGAAUUUUCUCCAAACAAGAGCAAAUCUGUUUUACAAACUUCUGUUUCAUAGAUUCUGCAAUACUUGCACCAACCUCUGAUUGUAGUAUCUCCAUCCGGAAAAAUAUCUGCAAUUCAUAUCUAGUACUAGGUGAAGGAAAAGUGUAAAUGUAAUUGGAGACAAAUUUUCAUAUUAGUAGAGUUAUAACUGGAUUAAUGCAUAAUACAGAAGACAGUUAAGUUAUAAAUGAGAAAGGAUACUCUCGAACUAAUUUUCCAGAAGUCAGUCCUUCGGAUUGUGAAUCAGAUGCUUUAACAGACGGGUCGGAGCUUUUCUGCCUUGCAGUGAUAUCCUUGGGAUCUCUCAGUAGAAGUUUUAACACCUCAGAAGCAACCAAAUCAUCAGUAGCACCAGAUUUUACAAGGGAAGUUUGACUCUCUGAAAGGGUUUCUGUUUCCCACUUUUUAUUUAACCAAUAUAUGGAUGAAUUCACAAGCCGAUAGGCCAAGGCCCCCAAGUCUACUGCUUCAUAUUCAAGCCCCUGUUGUAUCUUGUUGGAUAGACUACUGAAAAAAGCUUCUGACGUUUCUGAUCUACAUUCCAAAGCGGCUUCAUCUUGUAUGCCAGAAGCCACAGUCAAAGAAUUUUCUCCAAUUGAAGGAGAUGAAGAAAUUGGCUGUUCACUUUCAUGGUGCAAGUUAUCCAACCUAUUGUCCAUCCCUUUUCUAUUGAGCUGGUCUGCCUGGGAUUCUUUCUCCACUAUUAGACCACGAUCGCUAGACUUCUUAAUCUGUUUCAUCCAGCAUUUCAGAAAUCGCAUCUUUUUUGAGUUAUAACAUUCCCUGGCAAAGUAAACCUCUUCCAAACCUAUCUCUGAGUGUUCAAAUGCUGCCUUGCAGAAGGCACUCCAUGUGAGAUCUUGUAGCAACUGUGAAUUUCUUUUGCUAUUUCUCUUCCUUCCCUCCUUCCCUGCAGAAUGCUUAUUGGAUGGCCCAGUCUGGUCCAAAUCAGCAUUCGGUUUGCAAAUCCCAUUCUUCAUAUUUCGACUUAAUUGGUCUGCUUUUGUCUGAGGGUGAAAUCCUUCAUCCACAAUAAACAGCAGAGCCGAAGAAACUGUGAAAGGUUUGAGGAUUCCCGUAGACAAUACACCAGUGUCACUUGAAAGGGACACUAAUGCUCCUUGACCAUUCCUAUAUAAGAAACUCAAGAGAAUCUGCCAAAUGGGCGCUGAUUUUCUCUUCGCAUUCUCUCCCAAGUCCGCUUCUAGCAUUUCUAGAACCUUAUCUGCAUAAUAAUUGCCAGAACCUUCUUUUCCAUCUUCACCAGGUUUAACCGAAACAUCACAGACAAGGAGAGGAUCAGAUAAGUGGCCCUUGAAAUUCGAAAACUCAUUGUACUUUUGCAAAGCCUUAACCUGGAACUUUGUCAUGCCUUUGCCGAAAUUCCCCCAGAACAAUUCUUUCAGUUUACCACCUUUUGUUUGUGAAUUUAGGAUUUCUAGGGAAAAGAAAGCAUCAUCAGCUGCAUUUCUAGGCAACAUCUUCAAAUCAACCAAUUGAAGAUCACAAACCUUGCAUUCCAAAGGCUUCCCACUUACAUCUAAGAUCUCGAGACUCAACUGCGCAUUGACUUUCUUAUGACUAUCAUCACAACCGAAAAACUUGGAUGAAAUCCCAAUCUCGGGAUAAAUCAAACCAAAAGGAACAAGAGCAGAACCAAGAACAAUCGAACCAGUGGAGCAAAAUCCCCAUCCCAAACUCCUAACCUCACUCUCAAAAAACCCAAAUCUCGUCUCAUCCUCAUCGUUCCCAACCUUACCCUCACCACAUUCUAAUUCAUACCUGACAUCAACCCAGCUACACUGAAUAUCUCUACUCACAAAUGCAUCAUUCACAUUCUCAAAGAAACCCCGAAAUCUCUCAGAAAACGCAUUCACAUUUUCCAAAGACUCGUCACCCACACCCACAUUCAGGAAUUCUGUCAAACAGUUUGCAGACACAGAGACGGGCGAAAACAGAACUACCAAAUUAGACCUCACAGCAACCGAAUCACGAUUCGAGAACAUACCCGUCAUUGGAUCGCAGAUCACGGGGUCCCAGGCGUAGUCGUGCACGAGCUGGCGCAAGGAGGCGGCGAAGCACGAAGCCCGGGGCAGCGAUGCCGGAUCGCGGCGAAAUGCGGGGAGGGAAUUGAGGGUGUGGGAGAGGGAAUUGAAAGUGGGGCCGGGGAGGUGGAAAGAGAGGGAGAGAGAAGUGGGGAGCUUGGAGGAUGAGAGCAGCGGAGAGAGGGAGGAGAAGAAGGGUCUAAAGGCGAAGAAAGAGGCGGAGAGAGGAGGGAAGGAGAGGAUGGUUUUGACGGCGGCGAGGAGGGUGGUGAGAAAUGGAGCUGGGUUUCGGAGGUGGAGGAGUGGGUUGAGGUCUAGGAGGAGGACGAUGCGCUGCGUUUUGCCGUAGUCGGCGAUUGGGUCGCCGGAGCUCCGAUCAGAUGCCAUCGCAUUUGCAGGAGGAGAAAGAGAAGGAAUUUGGCUGCAGAGAAGAAGGGAGAUGCAAAUGUGGAAUUAAGGAACAGUAAACCGAAUACGCCGUCGUUUUAGGAGAAAAACAACGAUAUGGUAGAUGCUUGAGCGGGAAACCAAAUUUUGGCGGUAAAGCAAAUGUUUUAAUCUGAUCAAGGACCUGUUUGGACUGCUUCUAAAUUUGUUAAAAGCGCUUUUAGAGAACGAAAGAGCUUUUGACAUCAGUUGAAAAAAUAAAAAUAUUUAAAGUACUUCUUCAUGUUAAAAAAACACAUGGUUUAUAACGGAAAUUUCAACAUGAUUUGAAUGAAAGUGCAUUCCAAAAGUAUUAUGAAUAGAUAUGCUUUUCAAUAUGCUUAUAAUAAAAGUGCUUUUUGCAAAUGAUGUCGGACUCGUUUAUAAUUGCUUUUAAAAUGGUUGAAAGUUUAUUUUGUAAAAAUGUUUUUAGAACAAAUAUUUAAUAAAAAUACAAGUGAAUUAAAAAAAAACACUUCAAGAAUAAAACAACCAAAGGGGCAAAAACAGGACAACCAAAUUAGACCUCACAGCAACUGAAUCACAAUUCGAGAACAUACCCAUCACCAAAUCACAAAUAGCUGGUCCCAAGUGUAGUCGUGCACGAGCACAUUUAGAACCAAUAUUUUCUUUAAAAAUGGUCUCAAUCAUUUUAAAAACAUUUUCAAACGAACCCGUCAUUUUUAGGAGAAACACAAUGGCGCAAAUGAUCCUUAGGUGAGAAGAAAAACUAGACAUAAUGUUAAAUAGCACAUUAUGUACCAAUUUUUCUUCAACGGGGCUGGGACUACUAAGAAGUUUGGAAACUAAACAGCAAAGAUUGACUCUAAGAAAUCAAACCUGAUGAUUGCUUAUAAAGUCGAACUAUUUGAAUAGAUUUGACUACCGAAGACAAAAUCAUACAUAUGCGGAUCAUUAAAAGGUGAAAGAGGCCCAUAAAGACCAAAGCCAUAGCCCACAUAGCUGAUUUGGGCCAAUUGGCCCAUCUCAAUUCUAUUUUCUUUUUCUUUUUCUUUUUUUAGUUGAUUGGCGUGCUCUAUCCUCUCCCCAAACUCCAAACAUGGGGAAGAAAGCUGCAAACUUCCUCUCUCUUCAAACAAGAAAGCUGCAAACUUUCUCUCUCUAAAAUCCAACCCCUCAAAAGUUGCAAAAUUACAAGAGAGUCCCAACAUGUCCGCCAUUUCUCUCACCAAGUUCAUCGUCUUCUCUUCCAUCGCUUCCUCAACUUUCCCAAAAUAUCCAACUCCUUACCCUUCACUUUCACCCAAAUGCCCAACGUAUCCCCUCACCCACUCUUCCAGAAAGAUUUCGGUCUCGGUAUUUUCGAAGCCUUCCGAGGCGGAGGAAGACGAGGAGCUCCCGUCGGCGCCGGAGGACGAGUGGCUGAAGAAGCUGCCGGACAAGAAGAAGCCGCUGUACGCCCACAGCCUCCCCUGCAUCGAGGCCUGGCUGAGGAACUUGGGGUUUUACCAGAGCAAAGAGGACCGGGCGGUUUGGCUGGUGGAGAAGCCCGAGUGGCACGCCCAGCUCUCGCUCGACAUCACCGACUUGUAUGUGAGGUUGGUUUUCUGUUUUCUCUUCUGGGUUUCUGCCAUUUCUGCUGUACACACACACAUAUAUGUAUAUGCGUGCUGAAUUUUUGGCUGAUGGAUUGAUUUGGUGGUUUAGUGUUAAUUUUAUUGAGAAAAGAUCAUGAAUUUAAUCAGCCUGUGUGUUAAGUUUUAGAAUUUACAGUUUGUUUUGUUGCGAUACAAGUCGGGUUGCUGUGAGAUUGAAUUUGAUACCGAAUUUUAUAGAAAAAUGUAGUGAAAUUAGAGUGGACAAUUUGUGGAUGGUAGGAUGAUUGCACCUAAACUCGGAUAAAAGUGGAGUUUUAUUAGGCCUCUAUUAGUCUUCCAUGCCUUUGGUCCAUUUAUAGCUUCCAGUUUCUGUGAGUGAGUGGUUUACUGUGUUAACUUGAUCCGGUUGGCCGGUUGAAUUGGAGGUCAUGAUGGUGGAUUCAACUGCGAUUCCUGGAAAUAGUGUGGAUUCACAGAAAAAUGGAAAGGAAUCAAUGUGUUGUGGAAUGGGAACGAUAUAAGAGUUUGUUUAAAGGCUUCUUUAGGAUUGGCUCGAUUGGAUAUGUGGCUAAGUCCCAUUAUCACAUUCUAAGUUUCACGAAUGAGAUUGUGCGCUUGAUGACAUGAGCUAGUUAUAGACGAUAGGAAAUGGCGGUGAUGGUUGAAAGCGGGAAGCUUGAGGUUGUGGGGAAAGAUGGAGAAACAGACUGAUUACUUGAAAGUGUUCGUAUUACCCUGCAUCACCUCUAGUUUUUCCUUUUCACAUGACUGUGUCUCCCCUUUUUUCUUGGCGAUGUUCUAGAUCGUUGCUUGAAAUUGUUUCUUUUUUCUGAACCUUUUUGUUAUAUCAAAUAUUACUGCUGCUAAAUAUUUAACUGGUGAUGUAGGUAUCUAAAGACUGGACCAGGAAACCUUGAAAAGGAUAUGGAGAGGCGAUUUAGUUAUGCGCUGAGCAGAGAGGACAUCGAGAAUGCAGUGCUUGGAGGACCCUGAGGACAACAAAACAAUUGUUCCUGCAGGCAUCUAGUUUGCUCUUCUGAAUUUAUCGACCUCCCAGAAGGCACCUAUUACUUCUGGUUGACGGACUUGUGUGAAUAGGUUACUAUCGAUUCUUACACUAGGACUUUUGAGACGAAUAAUAGGCUGUGCUAUUAUUUAUAACUUAAAUUAGUCCUCAUGAGAGCUUUCGUGAUCAAAAUCGUUAUUUUUAGGUUACAGCUAGAACUUUAGGGAGGUGCUGAUUGGUGCAAAUGCUUUAGACAAUUUCAGAUCGAAUGUAUUCUUCUUUUCAUGAUAAAAUCGAAUGUAUUCUUCUUUUCAUGAUAAAAUCGAAUGUAUACUUCUGUACGAUGAAUCUUCGAUUUUAUUUUCCUUUGAACGCAAAUGUAGACGAUGUUAUUAGUACGUAACUAGCCUGAUCGGCAUUUCUGUAAUCAGUUUUCGAUCGUGUGAUGCAGAACCGGAAAAUUCUUUUUUUUUUCAAAGUUAUACAGAAUGAAAGAAACACAAUGUGCGAUUUUCGUCAAUUUAGAAGAAGAGCCGAUUGCACAGCAGCAAAAUGAUGUAACAAUUUUCGAAUUGGAUCUAUAUACUCUUAUUGAUUUUAAAAUGUACAGUAAUUCUCUUGCGUUUGACAACAACUUGUCGCGCAAGAAAUGUCUAUUUCCAGUUUCUGCAUCAUGAUACAUAUACAGUUCAUCAAUCAAGAUCUGCGUUUUAGAUUACGUUCAUCGCGGUGUUUUAGAUUACAUUCAUCGCCGUGCUGGGAACGGAUACCUACAACCUUAUGCAACCUGAUGUGCUACUAUUGAUCUGGACUAAGUAGUCGAUUAUUCUUCAUUGCCUUCGAGAAAAUAAGGUAGAGAUAUUAUACACACGCUUCUUCGGCUAGCAACGUUCUAUAGUUUACACCAAUCCUCCUUUUCACUAUGCUUCAUCUCUUCGCUACCCAGCCGUGGCAAAAUGGCGAGAUGAAACAAUGAAACACCGCUACUUUCAAUGCGAUUCUGCAGACUGGAGAUGAGACCAGUAUUCCUUGACAAGCUGCCCAAAUAGCGAGCCUUCUCUUCUCAUCAAGUUCAUUGGCUCGUCAUACUCCACAAUUUGUCCUGAAAUGGAUAAACGUGUUUCAUCAAUGUUACUCUCUUUUUCGAACAAUUAUGAACGAAUAAGAACUGGUAUAUAUUAUGUACUUGGAUGAGAUCACGAGAAGCAUUUUGAAGGAGAGAGUGAGAGUGAAACUCACCGUCACUGAUGGCAAGAACCAUUGAACAAUCCAUCACAGUCGGUAUCCUGUGAGCUACCGUGAUCACAGUGCAGUCUGCAAAUUCAGUUCGGAUAGUUUUCUGAAGAAUUGUAUCAGUGGCAUUGUCAAUUGAUGCGGUUGCUUCAUCAAGCACUAGUACCCGACUUCUUCUCAAAAGGGCACGCCCCAAACAGAACAAUUGCCUUUGUCCCAUGCUCCAGUUUGAUCCAUCUUCCACAACUGAGUAACAGGGCAUCAGUUAAUACAGCUGAUCACAAUUUCACAAAACAAAACGCUCGCCACCAUCCUGAUACACCGAAAAUCUUACCUAAGGAGUCUAAGCCGCUUUCCUUCUCCUGAACAGGCUCUCGAAGCUGACACUUCCCAAGAACCUUCAGUACGUACAAAUAAGUCAGUUGCUUAGUUUAAAAUUUCAACCAUGCUGAAUUAAACAGUCAAAAAGGAAUAAUACAGCAAACAAGCUUAUAUAACUCGACAGUAUACCUCCCAUAUUUCGUCAUCUGAAUGUUGAGACAAGGGAUCCAAAUUGUAUCUCACAGUUCCGUUGAAGAGGGUAGGAUCUUGAGGUAUUAUUCCAAAACGCGACCUUAGAUCAUGCAAUCCGAUUGUAGAGAUGUCAAUGCCAUCGACUAUAAUCUUCCCUCCCGCUGGCUCUACUAAACGAAAUAGAGCACCUAUGAGAGUAGACUUUCCACUGCCUGUACGACCAACAAUACCAAUCUUGUGUCCUCCUUCAAAAAUGCAACUGAUCCCACGAAGAACGAGUGGUGUAUCGGGCCUAUAUCUGAUCUGUUAUGACAUGAAAAUUCUCAGUAAGCUUCUUCAAGGUAAACCUUGACUAGUUCUAGCACCAAAGCAACCAAUAUUUACCUGCAAAUUUUGUAUCUCGACUUUACCUACAGCGGGCCAAUUGGUUGGAGGACGGUUUCCUUCUACUACUUCAGGGGCUUCACUCGGUAUAUUCAUGUACUGAUCUAGUCUUUCAACAGAAAUAAUGUAAUUUGCGAUACUGCACUGGAUCUGAAUUGAAAACAUCAAGGAAACGUUCAAUGAAAGACCAUACGAAAGUGCCAUCCCAAUGAAUCCUGCAGUGACACAGUAAUUGCUGU
rnacentral:lncRNA from 1 species